rnacentral:lncRNA from 1 species
UUUCUCUUCUCUAUUCUCUAAUCUAGAAAUACAAAAUUACAUUUUCCAAAGGCUAUAAGGUUUUAAAAAUAAUAUAAUUUUUGAAAUUAGACCUAGUAUUUUUCUAAUAAAAAAAAAAUGCUAAUAUUUGACUCUCCAUUGUUCUAAGAAGGCAUUCACAUGGAAGAUCGAGCCUAAAUGGGAUGGUCAUUGUAUAAAAAAAAAGGCCUUUUAACGCAAAGAAAAUAUUACGGCCUUUUAACGCAAAGAAAAUAUUUUUUAAUUGUAUUUUAUUUCUUUUUAUUUUUAUUUAACGCAAAGAAAAUAGUUGUAUAUUCUAAUUGUAAAAUUGCCAAAAAUAAAAAGAAAUAAAAUACAAUUAAAAAUAUAAUUUAAUAUUUCUAUCUAUUAAAUAUCCCAUAAUAAAAAUAUUAUAUCAUAAUAAAUUUCUAUUUCAAGAAUUGUUAUUGAAAAAUACAUUCAAAUAAAAAUAGCAAUAAAUAAAAAAAAUUAAUUAUAUCAUAUAAAUUCUAUAGUAUUAAUUAAAUAAUACAAUUGAAAUCAUAAUAAUUACAUAUAAUAGGUAAUAUCUUUUUAAUGAGUUGUUCGAUAUUAGAAACACUGAACAACAUGUCUUUUUAGUUUUAUUAGAACUAAACAAGCCCUUACUAAUAGAGAUGGCCAAAAAAUUGUGGGAUUCCCCACGUGUUUGGUAUUUGAAAUGCCAGAUAGGUGGCCUAUUCGAACAUAGAAAAAGGGUCGCAGGCCUAUUCGAACAUAGAAAAAGGGUCGCAGGGUGCAGGUGGUCUCCAUGUAAUUUUGGUGAAUGUUCAACUUAUGUACCAUAAUAAUGCUUUUGAAAAAGGAGUCCAAAAGUAAUUUUUCCACAAAAAAAAAAUCACUGGCGAAAUUAUUCUUGAAUUACAUGCAUAUUUUUUAAAAAAAUAUUUUCAUUAAAAUAAAAUGAUCAAAAUGGCCCUGAAAAUGUUAAGGGUAAUUGGUCAUUCUAUUCUUUUAGAAAUAUUUUUAACUAUUUUUUUAGGUGCGCCCAAUUGAGAUGAUGUCAAGUACCAAAUUUCAUAUUAAUGGGAUUUGUAAUAAAAAAAAAAUGAAACAUCCUGAGACGUUGGAUCCGGAUCAAGUCAAUGACUCACUUGAUCUAAACUGGACAGUUGGAUUGUUGGGGGAAGGGGAAUAUAAAGUAUAGAAAGCUUUCCCUUACAUCCCUUGCAUGAUAAUAUCCUGGGUCCUUUUUGUCAUUCAUUAAAUUGGGUGAUAGCACAAGUUGCCUUUUAAUUCAUGCAAAACCACCACAUAAAACAUGGGGACAUUUAACUCUCACAUCAUCAACUAGAAUAGGGCCAUCUAAACAAAAUUGCACCAGAAAUGGUUGGUUUGGCACCACCUUAAAAUUUGUUCCUAUUGUUUACCAUGAAAUUUAAAACUCCAAAUGUAGUGUUACCAAAAUUUGUUCUCACCGUUUGCCAUAAAAUUUAAAACUUCAAAUGUGAGUGACAAGAUAAGAAGUGAUAGAAAUUUGUCAAAAAAAAAAGAUAAGAAGUGAUAGAAUUCCAAAUAAAUAUAUUAGCAAGAAUUUAAGUGUGGUGCCAAUAUACAAUAAGAUGUGAAAAAGUAGACUUGGGUGGGUUGGCCAUGUGCAACGUAGACCUGAGAGUUUGUUCAAGUGGAAAGCUUAAAAGGCACAAGGGGUAUGCCCAAGAGGACGUAGUUGGAAGUAGUGAGAAAAGAUAUGGGGACUUACAGCCUCACUGAAAGUAUAGCCUUUGAUAGAAAAAAAACAGCAGCUCAAAAUUUAUGUAGCCAACCCCAAUCAGUUGGAAAAAAGCUCUAAUGAUAAUGAUGAUGAAAGGUGGUACAGAUUGAUCAAAUCUAUUACUACUUCAAUACUUCAAGAUUGAUCAAAUCUAUUACUACUUCAAUACUUCAAAAUGGACAGUAAUGUAAUGUGUUACAAGAUACAGUAAUUUACAAUUUAAAAUCAUUUUUCUUAAUAUCACGAGAUCAAGAUGAUCAAUCUGUCCUUUCAAUUUUUUAGAUGUGCCUCAUAUUUUAUUCAACUUCUAUAAACUUUUCAUUAUAUUUUUAUCCACAGUCCAUCUGAUCCUCACAUGUUACCAAAUGUAGAAGAUAAAUUACUAAAGUUUGAAGUAGGGUUUCUUCACAAUCAUUUCACCUCAGCAAUAAUCAAUCUUUAGAUUAGUUGGGGUUUCUUUCACAAUCAUUCCAUUCAAUACAUACUUUUAAUGUUGUGGAUGAAGGUUUUGUUUAGUUAGGAUGGGCCCUAGCACCCACAUUGAGGGCCCACGAUGUGUUAAAAAUUGACAAAUAUUGACACCCGUUGCAUGCGAAAUAAUUGGGAAAAGGACAUAUGAUCCAUUUGGUGGACCACUCAAGGCGGCCUUUUCUUGUUGAAAUCUUGGCAUAGAAGACAACUCUUCAUGCUUCACAUGCCUCAUUGACCACGUGGGUGGCUCCUGUGAGCAAAGCAAUGGCUUCAAGUAACCAAAAGAAAGAAGCAAUGAAGAAAAGGAAAGAAAAGUGAAGACAGGGAAAGAAACAAUGAAGAAAAGGAAAGCAAAGUGAAGAGAGAAAGAAUGAAGAAAGAGAAAGCAAAGUUGAGAGAGAGACGGAAAAAUGAAUAAGAGAAAGCUUAGGUCCGAGCAAAACAAUAUUUAGAAAAAAUCGGAGCAAGGGAUCAAACUGGUCACCCAUCGGUUUUAAAUUGAUGGGCUGAUUAUGAGAUCCAGCUUGGCUCGCUAAGCUAUUUUUUCAAAAAUAUAAAAAUUUUAAAUAUAAGUAUUAGUUGUUUAAAGAUUUUAAAUAUAAGAUUGUAACUUUAUAUUAUAGAAAUAAGGUGCAUCUUAAAAAUCUAGUAAAAAAAUAUCAUUUUAAAGUUGGAAAACCUUCCAGAUCAUCUCGACCUCUCGUGUAGAUAUAGAAAAUAAUAAUAAUAAAUCCUAAAAAUAGUUAUAAAAAGUUAUCAUGACCUUCUAUCUUCAAAAUCGUAAAGUGUGCAUUAUUUUUGAAUUUUGAAGUUUCAUAAUUAGGGUUGAACAUAGAUCUUUAAGCUAUUGUAAGAUUUUCAAUAUUGGAAACAUACUUCAGUCAAAUUUAGAGGUGCGUCUUAUUUUUUGGGUGCAGAAAAGAAGGUUCAAAAUACUCACAUUACUUUGAAUAUAAUAUAAAUUAAUAAAAGGAAAAAGUUUAUAUAAUUUUGGUACUUUAAAAUGUAGAAUUAAGGUGCAGCUCUAAAAUCCUUCGAAAAAAGUUAUUUUGAUAUUAAAAAUAUAUCUAAUUGAUCUUCUUGACAUCAAUAUGAAAUUAAAAAAGAUAUUUCAAGUCUUAAAAAUAAUAAAUCUUGCACCGCAUUACCUAGACCAUCAAUUUUCAAGAUUUUCAUGUGUUUAUAGAUCUGCUUGAUUUGAACCAUGUUUGGAAUUUAAAAAUAUAUAAUUAGAGAUAAAAAUAUAUUACAUCUCAUGACAAAGUUUGGUUGUACACUUUCGAUUAUUCAAGGUUGCAACCUUAUGCAAACCACGAUAAAAAUACAAAUAUUUGGGGGGAACAUAGUCAUAAUCCCUAUCCAAUAAGUAUUCAAACAGCCCUCACCGGUCCCGAGCCAACUUAUGCGAUUCCAAACUAGCUCAGCAAACUUCAAGAACUUGACUUGAAGUUGCGAGCUAAUCACCCAUGUUAAUACUUAAAAGGAAAAAAUUUAUAUAAGGUUGACACUUUAAAUUGUAGAAUUAAUAUGCACCUGAAAAAUAUACGGAAAAUGUCAUUUUGACAUUAGAAAACUACCUAUUUGAGCAUCUCGACAUCGAGAUGUAUGGAUAUAAAAUAAAAUAAAAUCAAGCUAAAAAAUAGUACAUCUUAUAACACAUGAUCUAGACUGCCCAUUAUACAAAUUUUUAUAAGUUUAUAAUUAGAGGUAAACAAAGAUUCUCGAGCCAUCCUAAAAAAAUUGGAAACCCUAUAAUUGCAUCUUAUUACAUAGUUUAAAGAUACGCAUUUAAAGUUGCAGCCUUGUGGGAACCUCACCCAUACAAAAAAGGGUGCAAUUUGCAUACGGGCGCUGUAGAUGUAGAGAUAAGGUGCUCCUUCAAAUUUUAUCAUGGUAUAUAAUUUUGAUGUAAAAUGUUCUUAGGAUUAUCUCAAAAUCUAUUUUUAUAUCUAAUUAUAAAAUUUUAAAUUUAAAAAAUGGCUAAAAUCAAGUAGAUCUAUAAACAUAUGAUAAUCUUGAAAAUGGACGAUGUAGAUAAUAUGUUGUAAAAUGUACUAUUUUUUAGACUUAAAAUCUUUUUAUAUUUCCUAGUCAUAUAUCUCGAUGUUGAGAUGAUCAAUCAAAGGGUUUUUCAACGGUAAAACUUCUUUUUCCAAUGGAUUUUUUAGGGCCAUUUGUAGUUCUGCAUUAUAAGUUAGCAUCCUUAUAUAAAAAUUUUCCUACAAAAAAUCUAUGUAUUAAAAAAAGGAAAAAGUUUAUAUAAGGAUGCAACCUUAUAAUGUAGAACUACAGAUGCACCUAAAAAAUCCAUCGGAAAAGGUAGUUUUACUGUACCCUUUGAUUGAUCAUCUCAACAUCGAUACGCAUGACUAUGAAAAAUAAAAAGAUUUUAAGUCUUAGAAAUAGUUCAUUUUACAACAUAUUACCUACACCGUCUAUUUUCAAGAUUUUCAUAUGUUUAUAGAUCUAUUUGAUUUUAACCAUUUUUUAAAUUUUUUNNNNNNNNNNNNNNNNNNNNNNNNNNNNNNNNNNNNNNNNNNNNNNNNNNNNNNNNNNNNNNNNNNNNNNNNNNNNNNNNNNNNNNNNNNNNNNNNNNNNNNNNNNNNNNNNNNNNNNNNNNNNNNNNNNNNNNNNNNNNNNNNNNNNNNNNNNNNNNNNNNNNNNACAAAAAAAUCCACAUAUUAAAGAAAAUGUACCAAGAGGACUAAGAAUCCACACUAGUUGGAGUCAUAUGGGCCCAUCAAGUGUACCUUUUGUUGCAUGGAAGCGUGUGCCAUGUGCUACAAACCAUAUAAAAUUUGAAGCCAAAGUUUUAGGGUUAAAGGCAUAAGGGAAAAAUGUGGAGAUCUCAUGUGAACUCGAGACCUAAAAAAAGCUUUCAAGAUUUAGGGUUUCUCUCUCAUGUGAGGCAAAGAUCCAUAAAAGGCAUUUUUUUUUAAGAUUAGGGUUUCUCUCUCUCUUCCCCCCAUGAAGUGUUGUGCCUAUAUGCUCGUCUCUGUGAUUAGGGUUUGCCCCUCUCUUCUCCCCAGAUUAGGGUUUCUCUCUCUCUUCCCCCCAUAAAGUACCAUAUGAACCAUAAAAGGCUCUUUUUCAAGAUUAGGGUUUCUCUCUCUCUUUCCCCCCAUAAAGUAUUGUGCCCAUAUGCUUGUCUCUGAAACAAAGUCUUUAGAUUCUAGAGAGAGAGAGAGAGGAUAACAUUAUCAAUGAAGUGGCUCAUUGGAUAAUGCCAGUAAAAAGCAGCCUCUUUAUCCACUAUUUUUUCACACAUACAAAAAUCAACAAGCCUCCAAGCCUCUCCUCACACUAUCCAAUAAGAGGUCUCAUUCCCAUGUGGAUACCAAUCAAGAUCAUCCACGUGUCAUUACAUCUCCUCAUUUAUAGGUGGGUUCAUUUAACCUUGCACCUAAGCUUAUUGACAAGAAUCAUGUCUCCAUUAACAUGAAAAUACAAAACAAUGGUUUAAAAGGAAAGGAGAUAAUGAGCCCACCUUAACUAAGGAACUCAAGCUUUAUUUUAUCCUUUAUUUUCUUUAUUGUUGCUUUAUACGAUCCUUUUUCUAGUUAUAUGAGAUAAUGAGAUAUUAGUUAUUGUCAACUUUGAUAAGGGGGGAUUCCUCCAAACCAUGGGGUUUGAUGAAUAAUUUGUUUGCGUUUGAUUAUUUGAAAUGCGGGAUAGUAAGGUUAAGCUUAUUGGGUGUGGUUCAUAGAAGGCCCCACUUUGAACAAUUAAAGUAAGGUGCACUGCUAAACACUGUCGAAAGAUGUUGUUUUGGUAUUGAAAAUCUUUAUGACGCUCUGAUAAAUCUAUUAUUUUUAAUUAUAAAAUUUUAAACUUUAAAAAUGAUGCAAAUCGAGUACAUCUAAAAGCAAUUAGAUUUUUUUGAAAAUCAUUAGCAUCAUUAUCGUCUAAAUCUUAUCUCAACUAUUUGGAGUCGGCUACAUGAAUCAUGUUCUGUCGAGAGCCGUACUCUCAGUCGGGCUAUAAGUCAACAUAUCUUUGCUCACUACUUUCGCCUAUGUUCUCUUGAGCCUUUCUCUGGCCCUUUGUGAUCCUUCACUUGAACCAAAUCACCUUUCUAAUCGAUCUUCGCUGCACACGCUGGCCUACCUAAAACUGCUUUCUUUCAUCUAAUCGCUUAAUGGAGCCAUCCCCAAGUUACCUUGAAUAUAUAUAUUAUAAAUUUCAUUCUUUCUUGUCUUGCGACUUAUCCAUUUCAACAUCUUCAUCUAAAUAUGUCGGUUCUUGAUCGCCCAACAAUUUGUAUUAUAAAGUCAGCUGGUCUUAUAGCCGUCCUAUAUAACUUUUCUUUCAAUUUCAUUAGUUUACGACAAUCACAUAAACUCCAGACGUGUAUAUUCACUUCGACCAGAUCUAAUUCUAUUCACAACAUCUCCCUCAAUCUCUCUAUUCUCUUAAAUUAUUGAUUUAAGAUAUUGAAAAUGAUCUCUUUUAGGUAUUUUUUGACUAUCAAUCUUAACUGCUUGUAAAUCUUGAAAAUAAACUAUCCGAACAAGUUGUUGCAAUAGCACUGUUAAUAGAACUUAAAAUCCAUUUCUUGUCGUAUUAACGCAUUUGGAUUCUAAGAUGUUCAAUUGGAGACAUACGAGUUAUUGCUUUGAUUGACUGCUUAUAUAAAAAAAUUUAUUCUUGAAAAGAAGUUUAAAGGAACAAUAUCUAACUUUAAAAUAAAAAAAUAAAAAAUUUGAAAGAGGGAAAAUAUCUAACGUAGAAAAUUUGACAACAUAUACGUGUUUGACCCAACUUGGACUAAAAAAAGCAACAAAAAAAAAAACAAUAUCAAAUUUUGAGUCAACCGGUGCCUUAGAGAGAGAAAUAGGGCGUAAACAAACUUAGGCAUUUUCUCUCUCUAGGUUGUUAAGAUGGAAUGUGGUGUGUAACCCUAGAGAGAGCACUUGCUUCUCAUUUCUUUCCAAGCAUCAAGUGAUCAGUUCUAACACCUAGGUAUUUUCUCUCUCUAGGCUUUUAAAAGACAGUGAGAGGUGGGACCAGUGUUUUUCUGUUCCGAAGGUUGGUAAGAAGGGAGUAGGAAGUUGCAUGAAGCUAGAGGGAGAAGCUUCAUGGGAACGGUGGAUGAAGGGGUAAAAGGGAGGAAAUUUUAUGCUGAUUGAAGGGGAAAAAGGGAAGAAAUUUUAUGCUGAUUGAAGGGGAAAGAGGGAAGAAAUUUUAUGUUAACGGAACGGGAAAUUUACGGAAAAUUUUUUUUUUGUUUUGAAAUAAAAAUGAUUUUAUAUAUUUCAUAUUUUGCAUGUAGGUUGCUUGCCAAUUAAAGUGGUAGAUGAGCUGGUUUUAGAAUAUUAUAAGAAGUAUAGGAAAAAUUUUAUCGGAAUGGUUAACUGGAAAUGGGGUCAGAAGCGGUUCAAUCGGCCUAAUUGGGCAAGUUCCAUGCGAUAAAAAAAAGUUUUAAAAAAUACAAAAAAAUCUAAUAGAAAAUAAAAAUUAUAUUUAAAGCAUGAUUAAACCAAACACAUCUCAAUAAACUUGAAAAUUAGUGGGAAAAAAAAUGGAUUUUAAAGAAUUUAUUGUGUAAAAGGGUAUUUUUGAAAUUUUAAAAAAACGAAAAACAUGUAAAAAUAAGUAUUAAUGGUUAAAACAAUUUCCAAUAUUUGUCAAAAUGAUGAAAAACAUUUAAAAAAAUGCAUUACAAACAAAAUCCCUUACUUUUUGAGAUUUCAUAUAUUUUUUUGAAUUUUUUAAAUACCCAACCAGUUCACCAAAAUUGGCCGCAAUCAAAAUUGGCCAAUGGUUAGUUCCGAUCUAACGGGACUGUUAGAAUUUGAACCGCCCAAAUUUUCCUACACUACUUGUAAGACAAUUGGGCAUUAGAGCAUUGAGAUGAUCUUUCGAUAGUACGAGAGGACCGGAAGGAUGCAUCUCAGUGUACCAGUUGUCGUGCCUAUAGAGCAUAAAAAAUAUUAAACUCUCUUUCUAUCAAUUAAGAUUAAGCUCAAUUUUGGCAUGUCCAUACUUCUUAUAUGGUAUUUAUAAAAUAUUUAAAACUAAUUUAAACUAGUUUAGGUGAUAUUGUAAUAAUGCUAAAAAAUAGAUAUAUGUCUAAUUUUCUCUUAAUAUUAUUAUUUUUUAAACGAUCUUUUAAUGUUUUUUUUUAAAGAUUUGUAUUGGUGAGAAGUAUGAACAUAUAAUUUACUUUUAAAAAAACAGAGAAAAAUAACCUGCUUCAGUUUAAAUAAUAAGCCGAUUUCUAAUCCCAAUUAAAGCUCGUACAAGGCAACCAGCACACAUUGUUGUGGACGAACUUGAUUUUCUUCCUUGAAAGAAACAUGUGCUACAGUGGGUUAUUUUAUCCUAAAAAUAAUUUUUUUUAUUUAAAAUUGAGUACAAAAAUAAAUAGAAUUGAAAUUAAUGUUAUAGCUUAAUUUUUUUUAUUUUCUAAUUUUGGAGGAACAGGGGCGGGGCAAGGAGAGGGGAGGGGAGGGUAAUAAAACUAUGUUAUCUGUCGUACAAGGAGUUGACAAACACUUGUAUUGUCCAACUGUAUAGAAUCCCAUUAGUUAUUGUUUCUUGUGAAAAACACAAAUAGUAAGAUGGUCUCGUAUAUUGUCCAACUGCAUAGAAUCCCAUUAGUUAUUGCUUCUUGUGAAAGUCACAAAUAGUAAGAUGGUCAAGUUUCACAAAUAGUAAGAUGGUCAAGUUUUCCAAGAAAAGAUUAUGGAAAAAUAUUAUGGUUUACAAAACUCGAGGCACACAGGAGGGAGUGGGGUCAUCAGAGGUGAAGAUGGAUUUUUUAUUUCUACAUUUGCAAAGCAUCUUGGAGUUGCAUACAAGAAUUAUGUUGUUUUAUGUUUUGUAAGCAGGAGUGGAUCUCGCCAUUGACAUAGAUUGUUUCUUUCUAUAAAUUGAAAGUGACUCGUCUCUACUCGUCAAUUCUAUUUGAGAUAGAUGCGGGCCCCAUGGCGUCUUCACAUUAUUGCUGCCAACUGUAGACAAUGACUUAUUAGACGUGUGGCGCAGCACACAUAUCUAUCGUGAAACCAAUAUAGUGGUCGACACUCUCUCUAAAAAUGCCACAACUUUUUUCUGAUGCCACAAUUUGGCACACUAGACCUGAAUGUAUUUCACUCUUUUUACUUCAUAAUGUUGCGCAACUGUUCUAUUGUAGGGUUAUAAAUUUAUGAGUUGCACUUUUUUCUAUAAUUAUUUAAUGAAAAAUGGAUAGGGGCCAAUCGCCCCCCUUGCUUUACACAAAAAAAUCUUUUACAUGAUCAUUAAGAAGGUCGAACAUUACAAUGGCUGAAUGUUAGCAUGUUUACUUUUUAAUUUUCAUUUACCUCAACUACAUCUUCAAAACUAUAUUUAAAAUGCUUAAUCAGGGUUGCAGCAUUAUAAUGAUUUGGACAAUCCUAACAGCGGCAUUUCAAUAACUAAACCCAUAUGAACAAGGAGCAUUUCAAUAACUAAACCCAUAUGAACAAGGAGGAAUGCUUCUAUCAUUUUGUUGGUGCCUUUAGGCUCGACAAAUUACCAAUAUGUUCUUACUUAUUCAUGGUUUCAAAUCUAGAAUGCAACCAAUUUGAACAUGUUUUAGUAAACUCUCUCAUUUAAUUAAAAAUGUUUUGACCUCUUAAUGAUUUUGCAGGAGUUUAUAGCCCCUUAAAAUUAUGCUUUUCAAUAAUUUAAAUGGUUUUGUAGUACCCCUCGAAACCCUAUUGGAAGAUGCAAUUUUUCAUGGCAGGAAAGGCUGAUAAUAGCUUUAAAUUUUAUUUUCCGCUUUUGACUAUGUAAUUUGGAGCUAAAAAAAAACAAAUAUACUGGAUUUCACAAACAUGUUAUACAAAAAGAUGGAUCUUAAAGCAUCCAUCUUAAAGAUUGAUGCUUAAAGCAUCUAGAGGUAUAAAGCAUCCAUCUUAAAGAUGGAUGCAAAUAGGUGGUCUAUCUAAGAACAAUUGUAACUAACGGUCCAAAUUUUUUCUUACUAUAAUUAUUUUUUUUAGUUUUAAAAUUUUAUUUUAUUUUUCAUAUUCAUGAUAUCCAUGUUAAAAAUUACAUAUUCUCUAAAAAUUAGGAUCAAAUUAUAUUUAAAAGUUAUAUUUAUUGUCAAGCCCGCAUUCCUACAUAUGCGGGCUUGCCCGCAUGCUACCCACGUACCAAUGAUUGAUGUUAGAGAUGAUUGAUGUGCAAGUACAUAUUUAAAUUAGGAUCGAAUUAUAUUUAUAAAAUAUAUUUAUUGUCAAUAUCACAUUUCUACAUAUGCAGGCUAAGCCGCAUGCUAACCACAUCGAAGUAAGAGAUGAUUAAUUUGCAAGUACAUAUUUUUUACCCUUGCUCCUGAAAACCCUACCACAUGCAAUUUUUAUAAGGAAAAAGUUUUUAUAACGAUGAAACCUUAUCUCUAAUGCACCUCAAAAAUCCAUCGGAAAAGAUAGUUUUAAUGUUGAAAAACUCUUUGAUUGAUCAUAUGGACAUCGGGAUAUAUGAAAUCUUUACAACAUAUUAUCUACACCGUACAUUUUCAAUAUUUUCAUAUGUUUAUAGAUCAACUCGAUUUUAAGUAUUUUUUCAGUUUAAAAUUUUAUAAUUAGGUAUAAAAAUAGAUUUUGAGAUAAUCUUAAAAACAUUUUAUAUCAAAAUUAUAUACCAUGAUUAAAUUUGAAGGUACACCUUACCUCUACUGCACCCGUAUGCCAACGGCCCUUUUCAUAAUAACCAAAAUUAACGAAAUUGAUGUGAUCCUCUAUCUAACGCCCGAAAUAUGUAUAAAUCGGACGUCUCCGAUAUCUUUUGAUAUCCUGUCUUCUAUCGUAACCGGACGUCUCCGAUAUCUUUUGAUAUCCUGUCUUCUAUCGUAACUGUCCAAACUCGAGCCUUCAAUCAAAGCAUGGUUAUGGUUAGGUAUCCAUCUGUCAUCAAAGCAGAUAUAACGGGCACCGUUAGGGCCUCAAUAAUCCUGCACAUGUCUCGUAUAACGGUUGGGACGUAACGGUAAUCCAGCGGUCUCUCCUUUUCGACGGUUCACCAUGACACCACGACAUGGAUCCAACGGACCUGAGGACGACACGUUUUAAAUAAAAAAGUGGAAGUCAAACUUAUGGAACGUUGUAAACGAGUGAAUUUUGAUUUAUUUCCACGUGAACUUCGACAAUUGUUCACGUGUGGCUCGAGGUUGUUGGCCACGAGAAAAAACCUAAUUUUCAUUUCCUUAUAUAACGCUAAUUUGUCCACCCAUGUUCUUAUUUAUCCACCCAAAACCUAAGGAGCAUAGCUCUUAAAAGGGUCAAAGAAAGAAAAAAUUAAUGCCGGUUUGGGUCUAGAUCAAGUUGAUCCUUACCGGAUUGGGUCGGUGGAAAAUUCAAGCUUCUUCUUUCGGAACUGUAGAUAUGGUUUUCUCAUUGUUCAUAUUUAUUAUUUUUUUAAACUAAUGUAGCGGAUCUGAAUACUCCAUCUAUCCAGAUUGGCAUGAUUGAUGGCUUGUAUUUUGCAGCCCAAGCCUUAGUUUGAUGUCGAGUAACACAUUAUCAACUCUAAUGCGUUUUAAAAAAGGAAAAAUAUACAAAGCGAUCGUUUACAUUGAACACAAAGACGUCAGAUUUCUAAUCAAGUGUUUAUAAACGUAUUAUUUACGAAAUGCAAAAUUUAAAACAUAUUUUUUCGAAUUUUAUGACUCACAUCAAGCCAUCCAAUUUUAAAACAAUUGUGAUAGCAUGUAACAAAGAUAAAUGAGUCCCCCCCCCCCCCCUUAUACAACCCCCUUCAACAACCCAUAAUUAAGAUACAAAAUUAGAUAGAUAACCAGGUGAUUGCAAGAGACGAAUAUGCCCAUUUAGAUUCUUAAGACUCCAUUAAAAAUGACUAAAAUACCCUCAACGAAUGGCAAUGGGAUAUUAGAAUAUGCCCAUUGAGACUCCUAAGACUCCAAUGAAAAUAACUAAAACACCUUUCAGAUUAAGCAGAGUACUCAAGCAAAUGUCAGGAUUGGUCAUAAGAUACUCAUUUUACCCAUAUCUUUUUAGAAAAACACAAUGUAGCCCAGAAUAGGGGUAUGAAUGAUGUUAUAGGACGAAAAUUUGGCCCUAAUGCUAGGACAUUUCCGUCUUUCAGCUGGUGGGCUAGAACAGUCAUUAAGUUAAAAGUAUGGGCAAUAUGAUCCACAAAACCUUGAUACGAUUAGGUGACAGUUUGAACACGGAGACCGUCGAGAGCCACACACGUGGUACGCGGAGGUCGAGCAAAAACCCAACGUUACUUGAAAGUACGAGAUUCCUUGGCUCUUAAGUAAUUACCAUUUUGUCCUUUUUAACUCCUGUACACGAGGCAGUUUGACUUGCCUUUAUCAGCUUUACCCCUCAAUUAUGUUAUCGCCAAAUGACAUUUACGUCCUAGUGCACAAGGUCGGGCAAUCAAUAAAGGAAAAAGUCCAUAGAAGGAUGCAACUUUAUAAUGUAGAAAUACGGAUUCACCUAAAAAAUCUAUCGAAAAAGAUAGUUUUAAUGUUGAAAAGCCCUUUGAUUGAUCAUCUCGACAUCGAGAUAUAUCACCAUAAAAAAUAAAAAAAUUUUAAGUCCCAUAAAUAGUGUAUUUUACAACAUAUUAUUUAAACAGUCCAUUUUCAAUAUUUUCAUAUGUUGAUAGAUCUACUUGAUUUUAACCAUUUAAAAUUUUAUAAUUAGAUAUAAAAAAUAGAUUUUGAGAUAAUUCUAAAAAUAUUUUACAUCAAAAUUAUAUACCAUGAUAAAAUUUGAAGGUGCUUACCUCCACAACUACGGAUGCAUUUGUAUGCCAACUGCACCCUCCAAUAAAAGACAAACGUAUCCCAACUAUUAUGGGUGUGGUAGGUCAUGAUAUGGAAAUUUGUUUCAUGUGGGAUGGACCGCAUUUCUACAUAUGCGGUCCAGAAAGUGUAAGCAUCCAUCUUAAAGAUGGAUGCAAGUAGGUGCUCCAUCUAAAAACAAAAGAAAUUAACGGUCCAAGUGUUUUCUUACUAUAGUUAUUAUUUUUAGUUUUAAAAUUUUAGUUAUUUAUUCGUACUCAUGAUCUCCAUGUUUGAGAUUACAUGUCCUUAAAAAUUAAGUUUUAAAAUCCAUCUCAAAAUAGAUUUAUUAAGAGACCUGCAUUUCUACAUAUGCAGGCUUGCCCGCAUAGAAACCUGGUCCUAAUAUUGGUAUGUCAAAUCUAUUUUUACAAGAUUGAUCAAAAUGGAAGUAUUUGAUAUUUUACUCAUAUUUUUACUUGUAAUUUAAAGCAUCCCAUUGCAAUAUUCAUGAUCAUGAGUUGAAAUAGUUGAAAAAUAAAAAAAUGCUAAAUGUUUGAUAUGUUAGGUUUAUUUUGAUAAAUCCCACUUUACUUCUUAUAUUUAUUUAGGUGUAAUUAAUUUUUUUGGAUUUUCCAAGUUUAGAAGACCCCUCAUCUCUUAUUAGGAGUUCUUUACAUAAGUUAAGCAUGUGGGGGACAUUAAGAUAAUAGUCCUACACUUGUUCAAAACGUUGGUUGCAUUAAUCUACAUUGUCCAUUUUAUUUAAACGGUGUAGAUUUUGAUGUUGUUUGAGAAUACAUGCCACUUUUUUAUAAUGCUUUAAAAACGCGUCAAAUCUAUACUGACCAACUAAAAUAGAUAUUAUAGAACACUACAACCUUAAUUCUAUAAAUAAGGUUGCGCCCCUAUACAAACCACACUCUAAUAUAAGAGAUUAGAAAGUAUAAAAGUUAGGAGAGUCAGGCAAUUUCAGAGUUUUCCAGCUUUGAAUUGCUUGGCUCCGGAUCCAGGCCAACUCAGCGAAUUUUUCAAGCACUAUUUUUUGGAAUUUGUUACCAUGAAGUUAUAAAAAAAGCGGCACGUAUGAAGUUCCCAAGACACAACAUGAGGUUAGGCUUGAACCACAUAUGUAUUUCAAGCGAUUAAUGUCUUCCUUGUUAGUUGUAGAAUAUAAAUGACAAUUAAAAUAACUAAGAGCAAUAAGCAUUUGGUGAUUUCAAUUAUUUAUUAGGUGAGGAUUGUAGAAGGUGGCCACAAGGCGUUGGCCAGAAGAUGUAGUCUGGUGUCAAUCCAUGUUCAACCCUAAUUAUGAAAUAUAAAUUUUUAAAAAGGUGUAAAUCAAAUAGACCUAUAGAUAUUUGAAAAUAUUGAAAAUAGACAGUCAAAGAUAACUUGUUACGAGAUGUAAUUUUUAAAGACUUGAAAUUUUUUUUUCAUUUGUUUUUUUUCAUUCAUAAAUCUCUAAGCUGAUAUGAAUAAUUGGAAGGUUUUCCGACUUCAAAACAUUCUUUUCAAUUGGAUUUUUGAUGUGCACCUUACUUCCACAGCAUAAAGUUGCCCCUUAUAUACCUUUUUUCUCUAUAGCAUAAAGUGCUUUUUCUCUAUAGCAUAAAGUUGCAACCUUAUAUACGCUUUUUCUUUAUUAAAAUGAUUAACAAAAGAGCGUAGCUCAAUGAGGUAAUGCAUUUAUCUUAUUAAACUUGUAUCUAUCGUUACUUAAGACGAAAGUAGCUUGAACUUUAAACUCAUAAUUAUUCCCAAUUUUAGCUAAUGGGAGAUCAAAUCACCUCAGAAGCCAAUCUAAGCAUAGCUUAUUUCCAACUAAAGACAGAGUCAACUAAUAAACAAGAAAGGUUUUGGACAAAUUGUUCACAUUCAAAGUUUAUAAAGUGAAAGACUUAACAUGGAUUUCAGACUAACCAAAAAGCAUAAACACCAUUAUAUAAAAAAAACUACCAAACUGGGACAAGCUUUCUCCGGCAAUUUAGUUAUAGUUUGAUUUUUCUCAAAUUGGAAUAAAUGACAAAGUUUAUAUAAGGUUGAGGCCUAAAACAAUCAAAUUAAGGCGCCCCUCAAAAAUUCACUAGAGGAAGUUGUUUCGAUGCUGAAAAACUCUCAAAUUUGAUCAUUUGAUCCUUGAGAUAAGUGAAAGAAAAAAAAAAGACUUCAAGUCUUAGAAAUAGUGCAUCUUGUAAUGUAUUAUCUAGGUCGUCAAUUUUAAAUGUUUUUAGAUCUCCUUGAUCUACUCUAUUUUUUAAGCUUUAAAUUGUAUAAUUUUAGAUAAACAACAAUUUUUGGGCCAUCAUAAAGAUUUAGGUACUAAAACAACAUCUUUCGAUACUAUUUGAUUGUACGCUUUAUUGUUUAAGGCCUCGGCCUUAUACAAAUCCCACCCUAGAAUAAAACUCUUAUAAAUUCAAAUGAAUCGUAUUUGAGAAUCUAUGUUGGAGAUAGGUUUUGGAUCUAAAAUUUUAAAGAUUUAUAAUCUCAACCACCUCGAUCAUGAAUUUUAAAAAAAUUGAUCCUGAACCAAAAAUAUAAACUAUUUUAGACUUUAUUUUUUACCUCUUAUCACUAUUCAUCUUAAAUCUUGACCAUCACCAUCAAUAGACUGUUUAGACUCAAAGUCAAUAGUCUAUUGAUUUAGUAUGAUUUACUUCUAUAUGAUAAGAAACUAGAAGUAACUUGGGAGACUUAAAGUCAAUAGUCUUUUGUUUUCUGUUUUUUUUUAACGGGACUUAAAGUCAAUAGUCAAUUGUGUAGGAUUGUAUGCGCUAAAUAUCUCAUCUAAAUACCAAUCUAUCUUUAUAUACAUAUUAAACUGCAAUUAAAGGAUGGACAAGUAUCAUUAAAAAUAAGAAAAAUUUAUCAAAAUAACCUUAAGAUAUUAGUUAUUUAAACAAUUUACCCAUUUAUAAUUAUUUCCAAAUUAUGAUCAUGUGUAUUUUGAUAAGUAUUUUACAAUUAAUUCAAAAAUAUGGGUGAAAUGUUAAAUAGCUAAUCUCUCUUGAGGAUUUAGAUAAAUUUCCCAUAAAAUGAAGGCGAAUCUGUAGGUAAAGAAAGCAUAAGGCAUGUGAUCUUCAAAGAGACCAUUUUAUUAUAUGUAAUGGUCUCUUGUAUAUUUUUCCAAUUUAACACUUUUUUAAUAUUUCAUGGAUAUUUCAUGUAAAUGACAAUACAUCUAAUAGUUUGUUUCGCUCUUUGAAUUUUAUUUUUUUGGAAAUAUUUGUUUAAUAUUUUUCACUAGUGCGAGUUUAAUAGAGGAUUGGAUGUAAAAAAAAUUGGUGUCAAAAUAGUUUAUAGAAAAAAAUAAAAAAGAAAAUAGUGCAAAGACGUGACAUUGUGAUUGGGGCAAUCUUAACCCUCUAUAUCAGAAUGGACUGUUGGAUAAGUGGGAAGUAUAUAAGUUUUAUGUUGUUGGGGAAGCAUAGAAAGCUUGCCCAAUUAGUAUAGAUUGAGUCAAUCUAGAAACACUUUAUAAUCUUAAAAAUUGACGAUCCAAAUAAUGGAUUACAAGAAGCACUAUUUCCAAAACUUGAAAUCCAUGUUUUCUCAUAUCUGUAUAUCUUGAGGUCAAGUUUAUCGAUUUGAGGAUUUUUGGACUUCGAAACAACCUCUUCUAGUGAAUUUUUGAGGUGCACCUUAAUUUGAUGGUUUGGGACCUCAUCCUUAUAUAAACUUAUUAUGUGCAAUGUACACAAAUCCACCAGUAAUACAGCCUUAUUGAGAAAAGAUUCAAGUUAUCCUAUUAUUGAUAGUUGAAUAUUAAGGUGAUAAAGUAAUUCCGCUUAUUUAGAUGAAAGAAUCAUUCAUUAUUAAGAUUUUAGGCAAUCCAUCUAUCUAUUUUAGGAGUCUCGAAACUGAAUCCCCUAUUUUUGUGUAUAAAUUACUUUUUAGAUAAAUUUGGAGAUUGUCCAAUGCUAAAUUUUAAGAAAAGGAAGUGCCAAGACAAUGCUAAUUUUGAUUACAAAUUUAAGAAGUGCUUAGGCAGUGCUAAAUUUAACUGCAAAAUUAAAAAGCAGUGCUAAGGCAAUGCUAAAUUUUGAUUCCAUAAUUAGUGUUAGGAUAAUUAAAGGACACGAGUCAUCUCGAAUGUUUACCUUUUUAUAUUUAACAUCUGCAGGAUCAAUUUUUAAUAAGGGUGUGGUUUGAAUAAGAUGCUCCCGUUAUAUUAUAUACAAGUAAGGUGCACCUUAAAAUUUGUCUGUAGUCGAGUGUCGAGAAUCUUACGAUGUCUUGAAAAUCUAUAAUCAACCAUUAUUAAAUUUAAAAUUUCAAAAUGGCACAGAUCGAGCAAAUACAUAAACAUUUGAAAACCUUGAAAAACUAUUGUGUAUAUAAUUUAUUACAAGAUGCAUCAUUAUAAUGACUAGGUUUUAUAUAUAUAUAUAUAUAUAUAUAUAUAUAUCUAUCUUAAGGUUGAAAUGAUCUAUCGGAAGGUAUUCCAACUUUAAAACACUCUUUUCUAGUGAAUUUUUGCGGUACAUCACUUUUAUAACUACAUGAUAAGGAAAAUCUUUGUAAAGGCAAGUUACAUGAAUAGAAGAGUCUUAGUAAAAACCAUAAAUGUGUUUUUUGUUUAUAUUUUUUAUAUUUACUCCUAUCUUGGGAUGGAGGCAUGGAAAUAGGAAGUUAUGGUUUAUCUUUUAGACAUAAUAGAUAGUAGUCUUUAGUAGUUAUAUUUAGGGGUGUGAAUGCAAACUCCUUUAAAAAUGAGCCCGUAAAUUGUAAUUCAGAAUUGAAUUUUAUGAAAUGAAAAUGUGUUUCUUGUAGAGAGGCCCCUUUGUAGGUGUUGUUCUUCCCUUGUGUUUAUAGGCCCGCGCCGGAAUACUCGUAUCUACGUGUGUUCAUUCUUCUUGUGAUUUCCUUAUAGAUUUUUACUUCUCUAUCUAAAACAAGGUUAUUUUUGUUGGUGUUGUUUGCCAGUAAAUUUUAUAUUAAAUAAAUGAUAAGGAAAAUCUUUGUAAGGGCCAAUUACUUGAAUAUGAGAGUAUGAGGAACCACAAAUGUGUUUUUUGUUUAUAUCUUUUAUAUUUGUUCCUAUCUUGGGAUGGAGGCAUAAAAAUAAGAAAUUAUGAUUUAUCUUUUAGACACAAUAGAUAAUAGUUUUUAGUAGUUAUCUUUAGGGGUGUGAAUGUAAACUCCUUUAAAAAAGAGCACGUGAAUUAUAAUUGACAAUUGAGUUUUAUGGAAUAAAAAAAUUGUUUCCUGUAGAGAGAGAUAUGUCCUUUUGUAGGUGUUGUUUUUUUUUUUGUUUAUAAGCCCGUGCCGAAAUACUAUUAUCUGCGCAUUUUAUUUCUUUCUUCUUGUGAUUCCGUUUUAAAUUUUUAUUUUUCACUAAAACGUAGUUAAUUUGUCGAUGCAGUAUUCACUGUAAUUUUAUAUUGUAUCACUAAUACAACUCAGCUCUUUUACUCAAGCAUGUGACGUAUUAAGGGAAAAUUUCACCCUUUUUCUUUUCAAUCCGAUAGGGGUAAAAUAGGAAAUUUUGUUGAUAUUUUCGAAUUUCUAUAUUUCCACUUGAGUACAAGUCGUACAAGUCGUUCCUAAAUAAAGGGAAAAUUUUAAAAUAGAACUCUAACUUCUCAUAGGAAACCUCAUUCCGUUUACCUUUCAAAGCAUAAGAAACCCUUAAAGUUUUCAACCGAUCCCCUUUUCUCGUAUCUCACUCAAUAAUUGAUUUUCGACUCUUCUUUUAUCUCACUUUUUAAUUGAUUUUUGACUUGACUAUAAAAAUUAGCUCAAAUAAAUGUUUUUAUAUCAUUUCAAUCCAUUUUUUUUUAAAAUUUUUAAUUUUGUUUUUUAUCGAUUAAAUUUUUUUUUGAGUUGAAAUAGUAUAAAAAGAUUUUUUGAGAUUAUUUUUUAUGAUCAAAAUAAAUAAAAGAAACAUAUAAAAAAAAAUGGGAUAUGGUGAAAUCUUUAAAGUUUUUUUAUGCCACUUAAAAUAAAAAACAGAAAAAAAAUCUACCGUAAAAUAAUACCAUGAAUUAGAAUUCCUUACGAAAUUUUCCAUUAAAUAAAAAGCCAUUUGUGGCCGUAUAUUUUCUCAUUUUAUCGGACGAAUUCCGUGGCGUCCUCGAACUCUCAUUGGCUUGUUCCUCAUUUUUCCAAACAUCCAGCCAGAUUUAUUUCACAUCAGUCUCGUUAGUAACGGUCAUUUAGACAAAAGAUUUGUGCAUUUUGGUGAUUGAAGCACAUUGGCCACUAACCCCGACAACUUACUUAUUCUCUUCAUCUCCCUCUCUCUAAAGAUCUUUCAGUUUCUCUCUCUAAAUCGUGCGAAUGUUCGCAUUUCUCUCUCUAAAAUAUGGAAAAAGCCUGACUUCUCUCCUCUCUCUCUCUAAAUCCGGACAUGUCCGUUUCUCUUUUCUAAAUUCAGGCAUUUCCUCUCCCACUUCUUCCUCAAUCUCUCUCCUCUCUCUUCCUUUCUCUCUCUAAAAACACCGACGCGUGUUCCAACGCAAGUUCUGCAUAUCCCACGAUCGUCCCCUUUAAAAGGAAACAACACAGACCUCAAAAAGAAAACCCUCGAUCACGAACCAGAUUUUCUCAAAAACCUAGAGAGAGAAGCAUUUGGAGAAGAAAACCUAGAGAGAGAAACUAAGAGAGGGGGAGAGAGAAGGUUUUCUCCGUCUUCCCUUUUUGAAUAAGGUCACCGUAAAACGAAAGCAGUAGAGAGAGAAAGGGAUAGAGCCUAGAGAGAGAGAGAAAGGGGGAGCUUGUAGCAUUUCCUUUCUCUCACUUGCGUUUUAUGCCCGGCGUUUGCCGAUCUCGCCAUCGCCAUGACCAGGCGGUGCUCUCACUGUAGCAACAACGGCCAUAACUCCAGGACCUGCCCUUCUCGAGUGGUGAGGCUCUUUGGUGUUAGGUUAACUGAUGGCUCCAUCAAGAAGAGCGCUAGUAUGGGGAACCUCACCCAUUACACGGGCUCGAAUAACCCUGGCUCAUCUCCUGAUCCCUCUGAUCCACCUGCUGUUGCAGAUGGUUAUGCUUCAGAUGAUCUAGUUCAGGCUUCUUGCUCGUCGAAUUGUCGAGAAAGAAAGAAAGGUGAGGUUUUUCUUUACUUGAAUCAAGAUAUCUUCUUCUUUCUGUAUUCGUAUGAUCAAUCUAUUGGUUUUGGUGUUAAUAUUUUCGUCAAGGUAUGUGCUUUCUUCUUGUUCUUAUUAAUCGGUUUUUUUCUUAGUUCCAUUCAUUGAGAUAUAAGAAUUUGAUUCUUUUUGUUGGUUAAUCCUUUUUCUUUUCUUUUUUUUUUAAUUUAUUUUGUAUUUUUCUAUGGAUUUAGUAAAGGUAUCAAAUUUAGAAGAAAAAUUGUGCUUUUGAAUCAUUCAUCUAGAGGGGAGGAUGGUUCAUUUUCAAUCUAGUGUCGUUUGCUAGUUUAUAACCCAGAGUUUCGGAAAGGUUCGGUGUUGCUUUCAAAAAAACAAGCAAAGGUUAGGGUGUCAAUUAAUAUGGAAUUAUAGGAUGUGAACAUAAUGGGUUUGGUAAAAAUGGCAGCUUUAAGAAAGCUUUGAGUUUCUGGGUCGAUUUGAUGGAUCAAAUUUUUUUUUGGGGUUUGGCAAAAGUAUUUGUUUAAUCAUCUCGAUUAGUUUCAUUAUUGUUUAAACCAACUCUUGAUUUGGUAAAGGCACCAUUUUAAAGAAAAAUUAAGCCUUUUUAUGGAUUGAACUCCUGGAUCUUCUAUUCAGGUUUUAGUAGAAGUCCUUUCUCAAAGGAAAGUUUGAGUUUUCCCCUUAAUUGAUUUGUUUAAUUUUUUUGGCCUUAGCAGGGCAUAGCUUCAGUAAAAUUUUCAAUGUGAAUAAGGCCUGGGUUCGGUUGGAUAAUUGAUCUUUCAAAUUUUUGUUUUCUGCUUUCCUUGAUUUGUUAAAUUAAAUGUUGGAUUUUCCAGUUGGUCCAGUAAUUGAAAAUCACACUCGUUUGAUUAAAAAUUGGUUUUAGAUAAAGAGUACUGUUGCUCCCCUCAAUCAAAUUCUCACUUUUUUCAGUUAAUUUAUCUAUUUAAAGGAAUUUUCAGGAUUAUUUAACAUUGAUUGAUAAAAACUUUUCUGCGUGCUUCUUACCUAGGUUCUUCAAAAUUAUUGUGUAAUAUUUUCUUGAUUUAUCCAUGGAUCAUAACUUUUUCCCUAUUUGUGCCUUAUAUUUGACUUCAUAAUUUUUUAAUGAGCAAUAUGGUUUCUUAACUGUUAAUACUUUGAAACCAUUUGGUGCUUCUGGCCUAGUUUCAGCUAAGUGAUCCAUUCAUUACUAGGGUUGAUCUCUUUAUUUGUGUAUUAGUUUUUUUUUUUUUCUUGACAUUUGUAAGGGUCGACAAAUUUCUGAUAACUAUAUUUGGUGUUCUGAAUAUCAAUCAGGACUUCUUUCCUUCUUUCCUAUAUCUCGUACAAAUGUCUAUUAGACAUUCAAUGUAAGGUCUGCUUAGUUAGUGCUUAAGAAAAUGACCUGCUUGUUACCCAGGCGGCGCUGGUGCCUUGAGGUGGGCCAAGGCCCUAAUCCCCCUGCUUGGGUGCUUGGAAGGGGGACCUCUUGGUGCCAAUGUAAGUGGACUAGGCGGGCACCUAGCCCCUUGGCCAAGGUGGAUGUCCUGGAGCCCCUGCGGGUGGGCCUCAUGCAUGGGAAAGAAUUGUCAAUUCUCCUCCUAAAAAGGAGGGGGGGUAACCCUGAUUCUGAUGGCUUGGCAUCAGAUGCAAGGAUGGUGAUUAUGUUGUUGAUGUUGAUGGUAGUGAUACUCAUGAUGAGGUUGUUGACCUUGAUGAUAAAUCUCAGUUUGCAAUUUGAUAUUUGAUUCUUUGGUUUGCUGUUUUGGGACUUGGGAGGGGACUCACAAAUUUUGGAGACCUAUCUUUGUUUGUAUGGUUUGUUAGUCCGUUUAAUCCAUAAGGCCUAUGCGGCCUAUUGUCCAUAUUAACAAUGUUGUAUGACUAAGCAUUUUCCUAUUUCAAGUUUGCGAGAGCUCCAAUCUUCUAUAUUUCUAAUAAUUAAAGUGACAAACUCAUGUUGUUCUUUAAAAAAAAAAAAAAUCGAAUUCAUAUGCAUGCACAAUGCAACAAUAGCACUACAUGCUAAAAAUAUCUUGCUUUCUUAAUAAAAAUCAUAAUUAGGUGGAUUUUCUAUUUUUUAAUAUUAAUUAGGGGGAUUUUGAUAUUAAUUAGGGGGAUUUUUAAUAUUAAUUAGGGGAAUUUUUUAAUAUUAAUUAGGGGGACUUUUCUAUUUUUUAAUAUUAAUUAGGGGGCUUUUCUAUUUUUUAAUAUUAAUUAGGGGGAUUUUCUAUCAAUCCCGAAAAUCCCAAACAGCAGUCAACCCUCCUGCAGUGUUUCUAGGGUGCGUUAAGAUUAAGACGCCCUUCCCUUGUUUCUGUCCAAGAUCUCUUCCCCUGUUUCUGCCCAAGAUAGAAAUUGUUUCUAUUUGUUAAUCUAGUGAUACAUUACAAUAUUUCUACCAACUCUUAACAUGUGGAACCAUAUUUCUAAAUGAAAAUUGGUGAAACACUGAAAAUGUCAGUUAUUAGAAUGAUUAGGUUUAGCAGGUUGGUUAGCUAAUCUUUUUCCUGUUCCAUUAGAUUUGGCUACAUGAUUCGUUCACUUCUGGAUCAGUAUAAUAGUAAUAUUCUUUAAGAAAGGUAUGUUUUCUUUUAUUGGCUUUAGCUCUAGAUCAUUUAUAUUGUUGUUUAUUUCUGGAUGUUGUCUUUAGGCAUGGCUAAGUUAGACCUGUGUUUUAAAGGAGCGCCUUGGCCUCCGAAGCAAGAGCCUCAUGACUGAUGCACUUCAAAAACAAUGAGUUUUUAUUUUUGGUGGGGGGGGGAAGGGGGAUGCACUUCAAAAACAAUGAGUUUUUAUUUUUGGUGGGGGGGGGAGGGGUUGGAUUUAAUACCAAACCCCAUAGAUAUGACUUUAUUAGAGAUGAAAAGCAUAUUUGACUUUGUUUUGUGUCCUUUAGUUUAUAGAUUGUCCUUUAGUUUAUAGAUGUCAGUUUGGAACUUAAAAUCUAGAAAAACUUACAUAAACUUCUAAAUUGAACUAGAAAUAAAAUAACAAAUACUUCUAACAUAGUAACUACGGAUUUGUAGACCAUAAGUCGGUAUAGGCCUUAUGGAUUAAACAUAUACUUGCCAUGUUAUGCGAAUUACGAAAGGUAUCAGAGGAUCUGUGAGUCCACUCCCAAGUUCCAAAUGAAAACAAGAAAAAAAAAAUCAUAGUACAAUCUGAGAUUCCUUGUCGAGGUCUGUAGCCUCCAGAUGAUCAUCAUCACAAUCUCCAUCAUUACUUUCACAGUAUCACUUGCAUCUAAUGCCAAGCCGCCAUCAUCCUAGUUAUCCCCCUUCUCUACAUAGUGCUCUUAUCCUCAUUCUCCUCAGGUUCAGCCUCCUCCUCUUCUAUUGUCCUUGAGCUCUUCCUUGAAGUUUUAGUGGCUGCAUAGGGCUAUGCUUUGCAAGUGCAGGUCUUUUCCCCCCAUGUAUGUACCACAAUAGAACUACAUAACACAGCAAUGACGUUUAUUGUAGACAAAUUUAUAAAGUAUAGAAGUAUAAUUGUAGUACUAUAUUGUAAUUAUAUUACUAACUUACUAUUAUACUAUACUUGUAUUACUAAUUUACUAUUUUAUAUCUAUUGUUGUAUAAAUCAAGUACUGAAAUCAUAAACUUACAAUGAAAAGUACAAAAAUUUCUUGGAUGAAUUUUAAACUUCUGCAGUAUUGCUUUAUCUGUACCAUGUGACUUCAUUAAGCUUAUUCAACUUUUAUCAUUUUAUGGUCUCGUAGGUCCAUGUCGAGUUUGAGUCUCAUAUUGCACAUGUUGGAUCCAUCCAUGAUCCAAACCUUGGAAUCAUUCUCAUAAUCAUUAUAAAGAUAAGCAGGGUGGAUAAAGUACCCUGCAACUACAUGUAAGGGCCUAUGUAGUUGGCUAUUCUACUUGUCAUCUACAAUCUUCAAAAUUGUGUUUACUUCCUCUUAUUGUGCCAUAAUUCUUUGAUAUCUGUUCCAUAGCAACUUCAACUGCCUUGUAAAUAUGAUAAAUGGGUGUUUACUUCUCAGUAUCCACUGUGUAGGAUUUUCAACGAAGGAUCAAAUACUUAGAGGGAGUAGAAUAACCCAUUCCAAUGGGAUGCAAAACAAUACUACACUCUUCCUCUGUGUGCUUGGACCCAUGCUCUUGGGCUUUUAGAGACAAAUAUGGCCUUGAGCUUGUCUUUUUGGGCUAAUAUUGUCUUAAGGGACUUAUAAGAGUGACAAACCCUAUCACACCUUACUCACCAGCUCCAUUCUUCUGUGAACUUACUCAGCAUGGCCAGGAUUUGUGUGUAGUUGUACAUGAAAACAAUAAUGGCUUUUGCCUCCUUAAUUGUCAAGUCACAAUUGUCUACUUUCUCUCAUAAAAAUCACAAUUUUCUACUUAGCAAUCGCCUGCAUAAGGUCAAUGCCAUGCUGCACAUGAUGCCCAGAAAAUGUGCAACCUCUUCUCCAAUAACAGUGUGGUAGUCGAAUAACAUCCUGCUCACUUACCUCCUCUUAAAUUGGUCUACUGUGCUGAAAAUGGGUUUGUGUUGUAAGUUACCUCGCAUAAAUCAACAGGCUUCAAAGACAUUGUCCUCAUUAGACACUUCAUCAUGUAGUUCAUGAUACUUCUUCCGUUCUUAUUAGUUCAUGAAUCAUUCAUUUUUGUGACGUCAUACUUCCCCAUGUAUCCUUGCAGGCCUUUUGGAUACUCGUUUGUGAGCAAAGGUUCCCAGAGCUCUUAAUCUGUAGGAGCCUUAAACCAGGCCCAAACUACUACACUCCUCAGACAUAGCUUGGAAGCUUGUCAGUCUAGUGGUAUUGAUAGAAAUGCCUGCUUGGUGCAUCCAUUGGGCUAUGUAUUGACAGGCCCGACCUUAUGUUCCUUCUCAAAGUGGUUCUCUUUAAGAUUAUGCUUCUUGUCUCUAUCCACAACUUCAGGUUUAGAGUAAAAUAAUAAACUGAUAGGUCCCUUUGUGAAACUACCCCUUGCUUACUAAUUGUAGUUGAGCCCAUCUCCGGCCCCACGUCCUCAACAUAAUAAUAGCAUCUUCUUCCUCUCAAAAGCAUUACCUGAUCUCAAAAUAUUCUGAUGUUUCUUCUUCUUAUCUUCUGCCCCUGUCCCACGUUGAAUGGGCCAAUGUUUCUCUCCGAACAUCUUCCGGUACGAACUUGCAUGGGUAACAUUGCGUCUAAUUCUGGUAAAAUGUUUCUUUAUUUGAUGUAUGUCGACAUUAUAAAUAUUUUUGUAAGUUGGCAUUAUAAAUAUUUUUGUAAAUUAGCAUUAUAAAUAUUCUUACAAAAUUUGCAGUCCACCUGAUCUUUAUCUUUUAUAUUAGGCAAAGAGGCGUAUUUCCAGCUCGGUUCAUCUAAUUUUAUUGGGAAAAUAUCUCAAUACACCCUCUUUUUAGGUUUCAUUUCUCUACCGACCCAAGGUUUCAAAACAUAUCUGGUGGCAUAGAGAUCCCAUGUAUUAUGUCUUCUAACCCUUUGGACCAACGUUACCCCAUUUGAUCCCAUCUUUUUAGCUCAAACAAAAGUUCAAAAGACAUCAUUUUUUUUUUGUUCCUUUUUAAACCCCUUCUCUCUUUCUCUUUCUUUCUCUCUCUCUCUCUCUUCCUGUGUUUCUCCCAAAACCUCUCUUUUUUUUUUUUUUCAAUAUUAAAAAAUGAGAUUUUAUACAAUAAGACCAUUUACCUUUUAUACAAGAGGUCACAAUUACUUACAACCAUGUGAUGUGAAAUCUGAUAGCUUGGGUAUGUCACAAAGUUCGAGAAAAUUUCUUUUGAAAUUUGAGCUUGGUCAAUGAAAUGAAUGCAGCCACCCAAUCUCACAUCCAAUGGUUAAGAUUAAGUGUGACCACCUUGUACCAAAGGUAAAUGGUCUCAUUAUAUAUUUUCCCUUAAAAAAUAAAAAAUAAAAAAUAAAAAAAAUAUAUAUAUACAUAUAUUUUUUUUCUAUGUUAAAAAAAGGAGAGAGGUUUGGGGAGAAACAAGGGAAAAGAGAGAGAGAAGGGGGUUUAGAAAGGACUAGAAAACAUGAUGUCUUUUGAACUUUUGUUUGGGCUAACAAGAUGGAGUCAAAGGGGGUAGUUGGUACAGGGAGUUAAAAGAUAUAAUACAUAGGAUCUCUAUGCUGCCAAAUAUGUUUUGAACCUUGGGAAAUAAAACCUAAAAAGAGGGUGUAUGGAGAUGUUUUCCCAAUUUUAUUUAAUUGGAAGAUGAUAUUCUCACCUACUCACUAAAACGAGUAAAAUAGCCAACAUAAACUUGAAAAAUUUUCCAAACCAAAACUCAGUUUGAAUACAUGCCAUAUGCAAGAAAUUAAAAUCCAUAAUAUUGAAUAAAGUAAACAAUGUACAAGCAAAUAUUUUAAAACGUUACUAAGUCAAGACCCAAUAUUAAAAACUGUGAAUAAGAAAUCCAAACCCAUACUCGAAUCGGCACAAAACCAAAAGUUCCAAAAUUUAAAUUCGAAUAGGAAGAAAAAAAAACAUACGCAAAACCUAAUAUUGAGAAAAGGCACUAACACAAAAGCCAUUUAUCAAGAAACCCAUAUUUUCUUUCAAACCAAAGAAUCCCAAAAUCCAUUUGAAAAAUAUGUAGGAGAAUUUACAGAACCAGAAGGUCCAAAUCGAAAUUUGAAACUAGGAAAAAAGAAAACCACAAAAGCAAAACCCGAAUAUUAGAAAACUUAUCUGAACCAAAACCAAUUCUUGAUACAAGUAACCAGGAAACCCAAACAGAUACUAGAAAAAAAUUGCAAAACCGCAAUGUCCAAAUUUGGCUUUGAAAAAAAAAUUACGAAGUCCCUUUUCGUUCAGAAAAAAAGCACAAAAACAAAACCCAUCUUUUAUAGGAAAAAAACUGAUCUUAAACUCAAUCUUGAAAAGUAUAAAUGAACACAAACCCAAAAUCGAAAUAAACUUUGAAACCUAAUCAAAGUUGAUUCAAUUUGGCAAGCUUUGGUUGCUAAAACACCGUCAUAAACACCUUUUCCAGUCUUGAAAUCAAUUGCUUCUUAUCCCUUUCAAUUUUGUAACAACUUGUAAGUACCACCAAAAAAAAGAAAAAAUGAUUUUGUGAAGAUUUUUCUUGAAUCUAGGUUUUAGAGGGGUUGUCUUUGUCUAGAAGGUCUUUGGGGGCGGAGGGGGGGGGAAGGGGGGGCGGCGGGAAUGACGAAAAUUACCCUUUCUUGGGGCCUAUUUAUGUUCUUGGGGAGGGGCAGCAAGUUAUCUGCCUUGUGCCAAGGCGCUAGACGGCACCUCUGUCACCAAGGCAGACCUAGGCGCCCCAAUUUGCCUGGGAGAGGUGGAUAUGGUCUCAGCAUGUCUCAAGGUGCUGAAGGGCCACCUUUCAAAGCAUUAGGGUAUUUUUACUUGAUCUAGGUACAAUGAAUUUCUCAAAUAAUUUUGUAGUUUUGAUUUGCUCUAUGUGCUUUCCUGCCUUUGAUUUCUCUUGGUUUCUUUGCCUACUUGUUAGAGAGCAUUUCUUUCCUCCUCCUACUUGAAAUUUUGACUAUUUUGAUUCUAUCCUGUUAUGCCUAUUUGACCUUUCUCUUUAAUGUUUGAGGUUUUUUUUCGAUAACCAACAUUCCAAGCGUCUACUUAUCAAGUUGCACAAGAAGUGCUUACAAAUGAAUAAGCAUACUAGUGGGAAAUUCAUUAUUUGUGACAAUUUCCAACUUAGUUUUGUCAUGUGAAGAUUUCAGCUUUAGGAGCCAAAAAAGAAACUAAAAUAGCUUAGUGGCUACAACUUUCUUUCUAGAAGCUGCUUCGCUUUAGGAGCAAUUUGGUUGCUGUAGAACCACAUAGCUUGCUCCGAAGCUAUUGCAUUGAUAGGCAGGCUUACCGAAUAAAGCGGGCAAGCUGUUGAAUCCUUCAAGUGCAAUUCAUAUCAUACUUGUGCGCACAAGUCAUUUCUUGUGCACGCUCUAGUGAGCAAUAGUUCUGCAAGGUAAUUGCUCAGGCGUUACUAGCUUGGCCUGCUUGGUUGUACAUCUACUUAUAGUUAUUUAUAUUAUAUUUAUACCAAGCAUUAUUCUCGUUUCAUAGCUAGAUCCAAUCUCUUAGUCCUUGCACAACGGAAAAAGAAUUUCACGUUCUUCCUUUCGGGAAGGGAAGAUUAGGGAAAUCCUAUUGAUUGCUGCUUUCUCCAUACCUCCGGGAAAAGCAUGAAAGAAAAAAGGCUUUUGUUCUGCCUAAAUAUGCUGAGCUGAAAUCUUCACAUGUAACGACUUUCUUUGGGACCUGGCUAAUUGAAAUGUUUGCCUGGUGAUGUUAUUUUUCGCUCUUGAUUUUUCCUUUGGUCACAUUAGGGGCAGUCCAUAUUUUGGGGUUACGGCCUUUGAAAAAAUGGCCGGUUUGGUCCACUUCACUGUUCCAGGGUGACUGAUUUUUGUAACCCCAUUCAUCAGCAAAAUGCUGCCAAAAUGUCUUCACUCAGCAAUAACUGAAAAAAAAAGUGGACUUUUUUUUUUUUUUCACAUUUAUGAAUAACUCUCUUGCUUGAUGGAGUUGUGCGGGCAUCCAAACAGGCCUUGGUUUGUUUAGCCAUUUAAGGUAAAUUCUUGAUAUCCAUAUCCUAAUUCUUGAAUUUUAGCCUGGUAUCUAUGGGAUUGUCUAUAAAGAGACCAUUUAUCUUUAUUACAAGUAAUGUUCAUAAAAACGGACUGCCCAAUGCCUAGGCGGUUUAGAAGGCCUGGGUGCAUCGUCCAGGCCUAGGCGACCAAACUGGGCGAUGGUCCCUGGGCGGCCCGCCCAGAGGUAGAAAUGGUUUUUAUUUAUUUAUUUAUUUAUUUUUAAAGAUAUAAAAGGUUAGAAGGAGGGGUUUUAGGUUCAUUUAAAACCUAAACCCACAAGAACCCCUUUUAGAGAGAAAGAAACCUCCAGAAAACUACUUUUAAUUGGAUCGAAGUGUUUCUCAAAGUUUGGAGUUCGAGCAAUCAAAGUAAGUGCAAAAUUUUAUUUUUUAGAUUGCUUGUUUUAUUUUGAAAUGUCUCAUUCAGGAGUUAGUCGGAGUGGAAAUAUGGAUACAACCCGAAUCCAAAUGUCAAAAAGAUGCAAAAGGAGGCAUAAAAUGGUUUAAGAAACAUUUUGCCGAUAUUAAGGGGGAUGUUGCUCAUUGUAAAAAUGUUCCUGAAGCUAUUAGAGAGGAGAUUAAGCAAUAUAUAAGUUAAGUAAAACAAAAACGAGAACAAAAUCCUUGCAUAGAUCUAUUUCUGCUACUUCUAGAAGAAGUGAUCCGGCUUGGAAGUAUGGGUUCAACCCAAAACCAAAUGAUAAAAAUUGUAUAAGAUGUAAUUUUUGUGAAAAAGAUAUGGGGGUUUUAGCUAAUUCUAAAAACACAUUGCUAGUGUUAGACGUAAUGUUGCUUCUUGUACAAAGGUUCCUAAAGCAGUUCGGGAUGAGAUUAAACAUCUUCUGAAGUUAGAGGAACCAGAAAAGGAUGAAAAUAGGCCUUGUUCUAUGGAAGUAUCUUCUCCAAGUUCUAGUCAGAGUGGUGAUCCUGGUUGGAAGUAUGGUUAUAACUUGAACCCAAGUGAUAAAAAUUGUAUUAAAUGUAAUUAUUGUGGAAAAGAUACUAAUGGGGGCAUUUACCGGUUUAAAAAACACCUUCCCGGUAUUAAGGGGGACGUUGCCCUGUGUAAAAAUGUUCCUGAGGCUACCAGGAAGGAAAUUAUACAAUAUUUGAGUUCAAAGAAGCACAAAGAAAAUGGUAGAGCAGUCAAGACUCUUAGGGCCUCAUUUGCACCAGCUGCACAUACUAGUAAAAGGAAGGUAGAAGAAGAGGAGGAAGAGGCAGAUUCAGAAGAAACAGAGGAGGACGAGCUUUUUAUUGAAGAGGGAGAUGACUCUGAUGAUGAUGGCCUCGACUCUGAUGCAUAUGAUGAGGCUUGCCCUAUUGAUAUUCCUUCUGAUGAUGAUGAUGAUGACGACUAAAGACUCUUGCCUCUUGGUGUUGAGUGUUGACUGUUGGGUUGAGUCAUGAGUGUUGACUUUUGUUAGACUAUAUAUUUUCUAACUUUCUGUAUAUUUCUAUUGUGUUGAGUGUUGACUUUUAUAUCCUACACUUGUAUGGUUUUAUAGUUUACUGUUUUAACAAUAUGGAUUAUCAAAAUUCUCUUCUCGAUGUCUAUCUUUUUUUUUUUUUCAACUUGGAAUGUGGUAUAUUGGUAUGAUUUUUCAACUGGGCAGCCGUCCAGGUUCUGGGCGCCCGCCUAGGCGUUGGGCGGCCUGGACCCCCCAGGCCGCCUAGGACCUGCCUAGCGCUUUUUAAUACACUGAUUACAAGGAGGUCACAACUAUUCCAACUCAUUGGAUGUCAAAUUGGAUGGCUUGCGGUGAGUCACGAAAGCCGAGAAAUUGUUUUUUAGAAUUUUGUAUCUAUUCAAUGACACCCUUACAACCACCCAUUUUGAAAUUUAAAGGACAAUAAUGAUUGUGACUUCCUUGUACAAAAAAUAAAUGGUCUCUUUGUAGACAAUCCCUGUAUCUUUCUAGUUGUUUUCAUUAAUUGUCAAGUAUCUACAGUGUCUGAUAAAUUUAUAUUUUAUCGAGUCAUUUGUGCAAGUCGGUCUUUAUUUAUGGAAUCUGUUCCACUUUUGGUUGAACUGCUUUGUGGUGCCUUUUGCUUUUGGCCGGUGUAUGUCCUCCGCCUUGCAGGACUUUAUUGCUUUCCUUUUCCCUGAUUUUUUUUUUUUAGCUAUUGAUUGGGUUUUGAGCUCCUUUUUUUUCUUAUUUGAAGAAGAUUGGUUUUAAGAUCCUCCUUAUUAAUUCCUUGAACCUUUUUCUUAUGUUUUCUCUUUUGGGAAUCUAAGUCCAAUUUCUAUAACUUCAUUUACUUUUGAUUCUUUUCACUGAACCAUGUCAGGUUUAUGUAGAGACAUUCUUCUACUAUUUUUGGAUAUGUUUGUUCUCCAAUGUAAGUUUACUGGUCUAGAGUUUAAAAUUUCAUUGUGCUGCAUGCUGCUCCGUCAUUUCUCUAACAACUUUAGUCACUAAAAAUCUAGGAAUGGAGUUUUAAGCUGAGUGCUUGUUGUGUUUUAGUAUGUACGGCCUGCUUAUCAAAUCCAUGCAAUUGCUUUUCAUGGCUGAAAUGAAUGCUACUUAUCGGAGUCUUACAGGAAGAGGAAUACAUUGAAGGGAGUCAACCCCAGAUAAUUUGAUUGAGAAAGGUCAUUUUGGACUUAGCAGCCAUUUGUUGGCUUCUCUAUGCAUAUAGGUCCACCUAACCUCAAUUUUGAUUUCCCAUGAGUUCACCCAGUAUCAGUUUUACCUUUUAGGUGCUUUAAUGUUUGAACAUCAUUUUGAAGCUCUUCCUAAAAUCUGCCUUGGCUGUAUCUAUGGGCUUUAUAAGUGAACACCAUUUUGGAGACCGAAUGUCAGCAUGAAAUGAGCGACUUCAAGUUUCUUAGGGUAUUUUGGGAAAUUGUGGAUUACUAGAGGUAUAUUAUUAUAAUGAAUUGUUGAGAUUUGAUCAAAUCAAGGGUUGGGAUUAUGUUUUAUGGUUCUUAGUGGGCUUUUCUAUUUUCUGAUUGACAUCUGUGGGGUUUUUUGGAUAUGAAACGGUUGUUAGCUGUGGUGUUUACCCUUAGCUGCUUGCUGAAUGCUGCCUUGUGGCACUAUAAAAGGAUUGGAUUAAAACAUUUGACCCUAUACAAUUUGGGAGGAGCCAUUCUUUAGUGUUAAAUAAAUCUAUAAUAAUAUGGAAUUACCUAUAUCCAUGACAUCUCUCUCUCUCUCUCUCUCUCUCUCUCUCUCUCUCUCUCUUUCUCUUUCUGUGCACACAUUUAUGUCUACGUGCUUAUGUAUGUAUAUGUACAUAAAGUAGCUGUUUUAUUGUAAAAUAAGAUCGUUUCAUUCUCAUAUUCCCCAAUAAGAAUGAGAAUGUAGCCCUGGGAGUCCAUAGAUAAGCAAAUAAGCUCUCUCUUUCUCUCACCUUGAGGUUUAGUGGUUGAAAUUUGCGCCUUGUUCUCAUGUAGGUACACCAUGGACAGAAGAGGAGCAUCGGUUGUUCUUGGUUGGUCUCCAGAAGCUUGGGAAGGGGGAUUGGCGGGGGAUCUCCCGCAAAUUUGUGACGUCAAGGACGCCAACCCAAGUGGCUAGCCAUGCUCAGAAAUAUUUUAUCCGCCAGAACAAUGCUUCUCGUAGAAAGAGGCGCACCAGCCUCUUUGACAUUGUUGCAGAUAGGGUAAGCUCUAUAAUCCAUGCAGCUAUAUAUAUUGGAAUAUUUGAUAGGUCUUAAUGGGCCUUCUAAUCAAUUUUGGGUCAAUAAGUAAUCAUUCUUUCGAUUAAUUUAUUUGUUUAAUUUUUCUGGGUCGCCUUUCAAAUCUAAAUUUCUGUUGGAUCAGCUUUUCAUGUGAGAAUGUUGGUAGCCAACUUUUUGCACUUGUAAAAGAAUGCUAUCAAUUGCACUUUGCAUGUUAUUUUUAUAAUUUUUACUUUUUCUUUGAGUAAUAUUUUUUGUACCAUUAUUAAAAAAAAAUUUACACAAUUAUUUAAAGUAUUUAAGGUAAUUAAGGUGGAAUAUUGUCCUAUUGCAAAAUUAUUCGAAAUGCUUUACAGGUAUUUAGGAUUUGGGGGCUGUUUUGAUUACUUGUCAGUUCUCAUGGUAGAGUGCGAUUUUGGUCAAUAUCCAUGUUCACGCUGCAAACCGUAAAAAAAUUCAUAUACAUGCAGCAAUGCUGGACAAAUAUGAGAACAUUGAAAGACUGGUUCUGAUUACUUAACUGUACUUGUAUUUUUGUGAUACUUAAACCACAUAGACACCCUCUUAAAGUUCAGAAUGAUCCCGAGUAAAUGUUGUAGAAUACCCAAAAUCGUUAUCAAGAUUCUGGAGUAUACAAGAAGACAACUAUUAUCAUAGUGCAGUUGGCGAUUUGACCUUUUCAUAUUGGCUUGUUUGUUGCAUCUAUUCAUGUUCGGAUGCUCUGUGUAUGCAUGCGUGUUUGCCAUGUGUGUGUGUGUUUUUGUAAAUGUUUGCUAACUUGAAAUCAUUUGCUCUUCCCUCAUUUGUGUUUGUUUUGAUUUGCUACUCUCUCUCUCUCUCCUCUUCCCUCCUCCCCAAUUCAUCUCCUUCGCACAUUUGCAGUCAAAUGACACCCCGCCUGUUCCAGAAGAGGAUUGCAUGCAUGAGGAGGCCAUAGAUACCACUGACAAUGGCCUCUUGCCCUUGCGCCUGGCCCCUGACUUUGAGUGCGAAUCAAUGGAAUCGACGAAUAAUACAAGAGAAAUAGACACGGUCGAAUCGCCUGCGUGCCCCUUCCCCAUGAUGUUCCCUGCCUUCUACUCUCCCUAUGUUCCAAUCCCUGUCCCAUUUCCAUUCUGGGCCCCUGCAACCAUGGCACCAGGCUUAGAGAAAGAAAGAGAAACUUUGGGUCCGGAGAGAGAGAGAGAAACACAUGCAGUGCUUAAGCCUACAGCUGUGGUGUCAAAGAGCCCAAUCAAUGUGGAUGAGCUUGUGGGUAUGUCGAAGCUGAGCCUUGGAGAAGCUCCUGGCCAGCCUGGGCCGUCGGAUCUGACUGCAAGGCUCCUGGGUGGGCCUGCAAGGCAAUCGGCUUUUCAUGCUAACCCUGGAGCGGGACUCGGUGCUAAUGGCGGAAGUGCAAUACAUGCUGUUUGAGUGGUGAAUUGGGGGAUUGGAUUCAUUGGUUCUCUCUCUCUCUCUCUAACUUUGUUCUAUCUUUUCUUAUUUUUGGAUCAUAGUUGUUGGUUGUCUCCUCUCUGCAAGAAGAAUUUGGGGAGGGAUACAUAUAUGGGGAUCAUGGUUUUUAUUCUUCUUUUUUUCUAUUUUGUUGUAAUGGAAGGACAAGUUCAUGGGAGUUAGGGAAAAUGGACUGCAGAUGUAGGUUUCGGGGUUUGAUUGAAUAAUCGAGUAUUCAUACAGUUCCUUCCCCCUCUCUCUCUCUCUCUAAGUGGUUGAGGAUUCACAAGCGAGAGUCAACUGUAUAACGCCUAUAUUAUAAGGAUCAUUCACUUUUGGUACAAGGUCAUAAUUAUUUCUAGUCAUUUGAUAUAAAAUUCUACAGUGGGUGUUGGGUUUGGUGAUAGCUAAAUGACAAUACUUAUAUUUUUGUCUAAAGAUAAGGCUGUGGAUGUAGACCUACGGAUGAACUACGUAAAUCGUGUGUUGUGUGUUUUUUAUGUUUGUUUUAUUUUUCGUAUUCGAUUUAUAGUUGUAUUCAUUUAUUUUGUAUUUAAUCAAUUAUGUACACGAUUUUGAGUGGGAUUUCGGUGCUUGGGAUUCUCAGUUUCGCAAGCUAAGGGGUUCUCGAGAUCCUACAGUGGGGUGGGUCAUAAAGAUCGAUCCCACAUUGUUAGUCAUUUAAUUUCACAUCUAACAAUUAAUAGUAAUUGUGUCCUUUUUAUAUUAGAAUUAUAUAGCUUUAUCGAUACUUUUUCUUUCAAUAUUAACCUAUUUUGAUUCAGUUUGGUUAUUGAGAUCUUGGACAAUCGGUAGAUACUCCAAUCAAAUGGUAAAAGGAAAAAUAAUGGAUGUGUUGUUUAUGAACCUAGUGAAUUUGUCAGGGGAAAGGAAAAAGUUCCUGCAAGACCUCUUGAUAAAAAGUAAAGAAAGCAGCGCUUCAAUAUCCUAUGGAAAAUUGGAGUUUUGGUAAAGUAAAAUUUUCAAAUUGAUAAUUUUGACAUUGACGGUUAUCUAACAAAAAAAUGAUGGAUUUUUUGCUCUAAAACUAGUGCGUCUUAAAGUACCAGCAUAUCAAUGGCAUUUGUGCCAUUUUUUAAGUUUUCAAUUUCAUAAUCAGGGUUGCCACAUUUGGCUUUACUUUCUAACACCGAGGAGGAGGCUGGUAGAGAAGGCUGCAAUUCUUGCCUAUGGUUCUUCUAAAACACUUCUGUGCCAUUUUUGAAGCUUUCAAUUUCAUAAUCAGGGUUGCCACAUUGGCCUUUACUUUUUAACAUUGAGAAGCAGGCUGGUAGAGAAAGCUGAAAUUCCUGCCUACAAAUGUUCUUCUAUUUCUUUCCUAAACACUGAGGAGGAGGCUGGUUCUUCUAUUUCUUUCCUAAACAUUGAGGAGGAGGGUGGUAGAGAAGGAUGGUUGUGGGCUCAUCUUACCUUCAAAGAUUCUUCUAUUUCUUUCCCUCCACACAUUUCACAUAAAAAGUAGUUUCGGCAUGGAACCUCUUAUUAUGAAUAGCAUGUGUAAGCCACUAUUCGGACAAGUGAGACAUUGUCUUUGGGAUAGUCAGUUGCAGCCCAAUCAACUACAAGGCCCAGGCCCAUAUAAGAGUUGGUCACAAAUUUCCUCAUGGUCUGUGUAGUAAGUACAUGUUGUCAAAAUAAGACCUCUUUAAAUUAUCCAUAGUAAGCAGUUUGCUGUGACAUAAUAUUUAUACAAAUGCCUGUGCCUUCUACUGACUGAUCAUUUCUCUGCAGGAGGUUCUAAACCUGUCGUGGUUAGAUAAGCAGGCUAAAAGAACUGGUUUGAAAAAUGGUCUGACAUUAAAUGGUCUGACAUUCUUCUCUAUAUACAUCGAAUUUACCACUUAAGAAUGACUCUCUCCCACGAUACCGCAUAAGAUUGUGUACAAUAUGAAUGCUCAACAUUGGAAAUAUUGUUCAUCUCAACCAACAGUCUCAAGAAUUGAGAAUAGACACUUCUGCUGUGUAUUUUUAUGCAUGCAAUACUUCCACAUUUUCCGGAGUGCUCAUUUUCUAAGAAAAGAGAGUACAUGUGUGAACGAUCAUGGAGUUUCAGAAUUUGGCCUUGCUCCAAAUUUUCAGUAGGUAAAUGGUUUGGGUGCUUUAAAGUUGGUGCUCAGUCUUGAGGAAUAUGGAAGACCUUCUUUUGAACCCCUUCUCUAGCAUGUCUGAUAUAGCUCUCUAUAAAACCAAAAAUUGGGAGCCUCAUCAGAGGAGACUCGUACUAGGGAGCAAUUUUGAAUUUCCCCCUGGAGUGAUUAAAAUCCAAGACUAAUUGGGGUCCUGACCUCAAGUCGACUCGCAAGGACACGGUCUGGCUCAACAAAGUCUUUAUGAAAACACAUGGAGUACCCAAGACUACUGAAACUUAUCUCAGAUUCAAUGUUUUCCUCCAAAUGUGGUACCAUGUCGAAUUUGAGUUACUCUUCUUAAGUCCUGACUUUGUCACUGAUGACUAGAGCAAGAAUGUUUCUUCAAAUUUCCGUUUUUGUAUUGAGUUACCUUUAUCAAUAGGGUGUGUAUACCAUGCUCCAGUGGAAGGACAAUAUAUCUUUACCCCCUCGAGCAGAGACUUGGUUUCGAGGAUUCUUUUGAUCUGAAAUUUUGAGAACCACCUAAGAAUCCCUGAAUGAUUAUUGUAAAAAAAAGUUAGGCAUUUGAGUUAUCUAACACGUAGAUCUCACCCUCCAAAAUUUGGACCAUCUCCAUUCAAUCUUGAGAUGUCAUUUUCUUCGUGUGCAUAGAGAGUGUAAUUUGGAAAUUUUGUUUAUUGAGGUUAGUAUAUAUGUUAAAGAGGUUACAUCCCAAAAAAAUUGAUGUCCUAAAAAUUCUCCUAGAUUGAGGUUUACCUGAGGGAAUGAAUGGACAAUAUGCUCUAAUGCACAGGAGCACAAAAUCUUUUGCCUUAUCAAUUUCUUUCUAGAGCUUAUAAAUUGGGAGGACACAAUGACUUCAUGAAGUAGGGACCACAUUAAAAUUUCUCGAAAAGGGUACAGUGAAGGUAAGGUCAUACUUCUCAAAAAUGAGAAAUCUAGAUCCACAUGGUAGAGUAAAUUGCCCAAAAAAAUAGAAAAUGAAAAAAUCACAAAUUUGGACUAUUUUGUUAUUUUAAAAAUUUAUACAAACCCUCAAAUAUUUUAUUCUCUUUCUAAAAUUAGGUCCAGUUGAAAUUUGGAGAGUACAUGUGCCUAAUUUUAUAUAAAAUAAAAUGAUCAAACUAACCCUCAAAGUUUCAAGGGAAAAACUUCAUUUUGUUUUUUACAUAGAAAUUUUUAAUAAUUUUAGUGGUGCAAGUUAUUUAGAUGUCUAGAAGAAUUUCAAAUUCUUGCAAUAUACACAAAAACUAAAAUUGAAAUCCUCUAGAUCAUCGAAUCCAGAUCUCACAAUUGCGAUCAAUAGUAUUUUAGGUUAUCUAUGAUGUAGAGUUUCGGAGGUGUUUCCAUCAUUCUAUUUUUUUAAAAAAAAUAUAUUAUAUUUUUCCAAGAAUAAUCAUAGGCUUCUUCUAAAACUUUAGCUCAAUCCAACCUAAAAAAAAAACAUUGAAGUACUCAGAUUUGCUCUUAACCAUCCAAGGGGAAUUUUCAAUCAUUAUGUUUUUUCAAAUUAGUUUUCUAUAUUUUUCAUAGGUUCUGAUGGUGAGAAAUAUAGAAACUAAAGGUAUUAGCUCAAUUUGACUCAUGAAAAAAAUAAAAUAAAAUAAAUUCAAAACACUUAAACUUGUUCUCACCUUAUCAUUUUUUUCUUUUUCUUUUUAAAUGAUGUAAGAGUGUCAAAUUCGCUAGACCUACCAUGGAUAAGCUAUAGUUUUGAAAUCUCAUUCAUUUAACAAACAUUACCCUAUCACUAACCAUAACUUUAACAAAUGGUUGAAAUAGGCUAAUUUUCAAAUCUCUUAAUUUAAUGAAUUUCAGCUUGAACCAAAAACAUAGUUUUCCAAAAUCCCCUGAAUUCUGGAUUGGUUAACCAAACAUAGUAUUUUCUAUUACCCGAUACUCAAUUUCCUGCCUUCUAGAUUUCAUAAUUGGAAAUCUCCAAUAGGUUCCACUUGCCAAAACUCCCCCAAAACUAAAGAAUAUUUUAAAUGAAGAGCCAAUCAAAUAAUAUGGGCCCAUAUUUAGUCAAUUGUUGGUGGUUAUGGAACCCCGAUGACAAAGAUAGUUGAAAUGUGCUAUAUUUAUGGGAAGCCACAUGAGCUUGGCUUUCAUAAUUAUUUCUCUUUAUGUGUUUAUUUUUUUAUCUAUAUAUUUAGGUUGGUUUCCAUCCUUCAAGAAACUCACCUUUCUGAGAUGAAUGUUUCAAGCAAACUUCAUCAUCAAUGGGUUUGAAAUAGAUGGGUGAAACAGGGCAAUAAGAUAGUACCAUGACCAACAUUUUUUUUGUUUGUGAGGAACUCAAGAUAUUCUGUUUUUAGGCACGAUUUUUUACUUUUUCAAGACAAUGUUCGUCCUUUACUGAAGAAAUUCAACGUGAUUUAAAUUCUUAGGUAAAUUUGAUCUUAAAAAAUAGAAAAACAAAAGAUUGAAAGCUCGACUUGCUUGUACAAUAAACAAACAUAACAAGAUCCGAAGAGCUAGAUGAACUUUUUUUGUGAGAGAGAGAGAGAGAGUGAACAAAAGGGACUUUUGCUAGUUGCUCCCAAGAUAAUAUUUUCUGUCUUUGGUAUAUAUAGAAACAAAAGAUUGAACACUUAUCUUGUAUAUAUAACAAUGCAUUAGGGGAGCCUUUCUUUAAAGGGAGAACACGAAGAAAAGAAAUUUUUGCUAGUUGAAUACUUUGUAUCAACUCCUCUCCUUUAAAGUAAAACCAAAGUAAUUUAUGGAGAACUGCCCUUUCAGUUUCGAAAAAUUGUUUCAUGCUGUCUGGACCACAUUUCUACAUAUGUGGUCCAGAAAUUGUAAAGCAUCCAUGUUAAAGAUGUAUGCAAAUAGGCGUUCCAUCUAAAAAUAAUGGAAACUAAUGGUCCAAGUGUUUUCUUACUAGAAUUAUUAUUUUUUAGUUUUUAAAUUUUAUUUAUUUAUUCAUUAUUCAUGAUCUCUACGUUAGAGAUUACAUAUCUUUGAAAUUUAAGUCUUAAAAAUCCAUCUAAAAAAUAGAUUAAUUAAGAGGCCCAUAUUUCUACAUAUUUAGGCUUGGCCGCAAGGUCCUUCAGUUUCAGUGAAUACUAUGUACCCACUCGUUAUAACUUUAUAACUACGCAUUGAGCAAUUGUGCCUAUUCAUUCUUGCUCUCUCGAAGACCCGAAACCAUAAUCUAUGUAGAGGGAAGUGCACUCUCAGUUUCCUUGAACAUACCACACAGUUAUUAUAACUAAUGCUGAGUUGUGCUUCUUUCAUUUCUCCUGUGACAAAUUUGUCACUCCGGUUUGUUUGCGAUAUUGCCGUAAGACAUUCUUACAAGACUGUUGUGGUGGUCGCAUUCCAUAUUCAGUUACCACAUCAUGGUAUCCAUUUUUAUUACUGACAUACCCAAUUAACAUUUUCAAAAUAUAACUCUCUAAUCUAUUGAGAAAACGGGUAGAAGCAUGUCUUUCCCAUUGAAUUACCCAACUACCUCGACCCAAUAUGGCUUGGAGCAAAGUGUAAACCCUUUUGCCCUCCCACACGUAUGGGUAACAAGCAAUAUUAUGUGGUCUGUAUAGGCAUCCUCUUCUCUUAGUUUCAAGAAUACAAUAGCAGAGGGUAUUCCCAUAUUUAAAUUUCACUUCCAAUAAAUACUAUGAUUCUUUUUGAAUUCAGCAUUUAUUCAAUAUAAAAAACUCAGCACUAUGACCAAUUGCUUUUUGGCUUUCCAUAUAUCGUGGAUUGAUUUUUAUCCUAAUGAUCAAUUAUGCAAAUAAAAAAACAAAAAAAUUAUGCACCCUGAAAAUAUCCAAAUGAAUCCUGCCCUACAAUGAUUGCGAGCUGUCCAUUAGGUGAACGUUGAUCUACGCCUUCCAUUUGGCGACUAUUGAGAUCUAGGCCUUCCAUUUGAUGAUGAUUCUGGCCAUCGGGUAAAAACUAUCACUUUAAAGCCAGGAUCCGAUCGUCCCAUCAUCAAAUGGACGACCAAUAUUCAUUGCGGUAAGAAAAAUUACUUUUAGGAUUUAUUGUCGAAAUUUUAUUAUUUGGUAUUUUCUUGUUCUUUUUCUUUUUUUGAAACCUUUUUUUUUUUUUAUAACAGGAAUGAAAUGUUGUAAUGAUUUAGAACACACUGAUCCAUAUCGAGAAUCGCUAAUCGCUUAUCUUUUUGUAAUCCUAAUCCAAAUGGGGAAUCGGUUUGAUUUUUAUGGAGUCAUCCAAUUAUGUAAGACAACCAGGCGAGUCUAUGCAAGAACCAAGCAAUAUAGAUCAAGCCAAAUCUCGAUUUAGAUCGCUCGAUCCCACACAUUUAUUUUUUCAUAAAUUUUUCAAAUUUAAAAUUUAGAAAUGGCAUGUAGAUUUUUUUGGAUUAUUUUUCACAGUAGAGAAUUGGUCCAAUCCAGCCUGAAUCGAUGAUCCGAUUGGUCCAUUGGGUGCGGUCCUCCCAAUCCGGGUAUAUUACAUUAUAUCUACUAUUGAAAUGGGUUCAUGAAUCACUCCCCAAAAAAUAUUUGCCUUCAUGGUCCUGCUAGAUAUAAAAAUCCAUGGAAAAGUUCAAUUAGGAAUAAAAUGUUUAGUAGCAUACAACUACCUAAAUCCCCUUCAAUCUUAGGUCGGCAGAUGAUGCCUCAACACACCAAUUUCCCUUCAUAUUAUCUUUGGAAAAUGACAAAAGAUAUUACAUAUAGCAUGGGCCAGUUUAUCUUUGGAAUAUGGAGGUCACAAGUAAUAUUAGCCAUCAAAUGUCGAAUCAGACAGCUUAAAAGUAUGUCGCAUAAUUCAAAAAAAAUUUCUUUAAACUUCGAACUUGAUCAAUCUCACACUCCUAGCCUUCCGAUUUCAAAUUUGAUAACCAAAAGUGACUUAAGCUCCUUUGUUUUUUAAAAAAAAAUUAAAAAACUGUAAGCAAAGUUUUAUGUUAACUCUAUACUUUAAGCUCUUUGUACAAAAGAUAAAUACUAAUAUUGCUUUGAUAAGUCAUGCUUCCUAAGUACAUGCUUAACUUCUUCACCAUCCACCAACUCAAAACAUUUUAACCUUCCAACAACUAUUUAUCACAAAGCAUUCGACUGAUCAUGUUAGGUGUUUCUUAUAAGAGAGAUGUGAUGAUAUGUCACCGAUUAAUCAAAUAUUUGAAUUUGAUGCUUAUUUAGUAUUAAACAUAGGGACAUUAGAAAAUUUUAUCCUAACAAAAUGUAUAUAAAUUAUAUAACUCCGGCUCCAUAGAUUGGUGUGGGCUCUCACUCUAGAUUCCUCCAUGAUUACUAAAUCCUUUGGAGAAAUAAACAACAUGAUCUAAUAAACAUAAGAUUAAGAUUUAAUUUGUGUGAGAUUUUUUGAGGGCUAGUAUAUGGUGGACCCAUUGGUCAAGAUUGUUCACUUGGACCUACAGCCAAAACUCUUUGCUUAUCAUUACAGAAACAGUGAAAUCAAAUCAACUAAUAAAAGAAAAUGAGUGUUAGGCCAAAAAAAAAAAAAAACCUGAGACCAACAAACUGGAGGAUCUACAUUCAAUCUUAGGAGGGUUGUAAUUGGGAGCGUUUCUUUUAAGCUUCAAAUCAAUUUUUUUUUAAUGAAUUUGUCUUAAAGAAUUUAAUCAAGAGAUGGGGGUUUCUGGCCCCAAGGACACUAGGCCCUGCUGGUCCAAAUGAACAAUUUGGACCUGUGGUUAUGGGAAAAAUGAAGCAUCCCACUUAGUACUUCCCCUCAACCUUCAAAUAUAGGUUGAACCUAUUUUUUAGGGUCAUAUCAAGGCUGUCACAUACUUCUGAAAGUCUGAUAGAGGACUAAACCUACACACUUAAAGUAAAGAAAACAAUAGAGUGCAUGUUAAAAGCCAAAAAAUUUACUUGAAAUUAGUAAAUUACAUAUCGAAAAAGUUUAUAUAAGGUUAUAAAAUUAAGAUGCACCUGAAAAAUCCAUCAUAAAGGACUUUUGAGUUUGGAAAAUGCUCUAAUUGAUUAUUUCGAUAUCGAGAUGUAUGAAUACGAGAAGAAAAAAAUAAGAUUUCGAGUCAAAAAAAUAUUGCAUCUUGCAACACAUUUUCUAAGCUGUCUAUUUUCAAGAUUUUCAUGUGUUUAUAGAUCUAUUUGAUUUGAACUAUUUAUUGAGUCUAUAAUUUUAUAUUUAGAUAUGAAAAUAGAUUCUCAGGCCAUCCUAAUAAAUUUUGACACCAAAAUUACAUCUUACGAUAGAUUUUGGAGGUGCACUUUAUUUUGCUUGUUUAAAGUUGCAAUCUUAUGCAAACUACUUAGGAUGAACUAAUAAUCUAUUUUCUUCUCAAAUUAUAAAAUUUUAAACUUCAAAAAUAGUUUAAAACAAAUAGAUCUAUAAACUCUUGAAAAUCUUGAAAAUAGGUGGUCCACAUAAUAUGUUGCAAGUUGCACCAUCUUUGGGACUUAAAAUCGUUUUUUUUUUUUUUUGUCAUUUCAAUACAUCUCGAUGUUGAGAUGAUAAUUUAGAGAGUUUUUCAACAUCAAAACAACCUUUUUUUUUUUUUAUGAAUUUUCGAACUCUGAGAGAGAGGUGGUAUUCUCAUGAGUUUUGAGUUUGUAAGGCUUUUACUUUUAGAGAGAGAAAAUAUAUCAGUUGCUAUCAAUGUUAUCUUUCCAGUACCGGUAUUACAAUGGGAAAUAAGAUAUUGAUCGACGGUGUUAUUCAAUCGGGAGAGCAGGUUUAGAAGAAAAGAUCGGUUAUGGUCUUUUAUCGAUGUUUAGAUAAAUGUUUAUCUCUUGGAACCCAAAACUGUAAUUUUCAUUUUGAUAGUGGAUUUCUACUUGCUGAGCCGUGGAUGUAGCCCUAUAGGAUAAACCAUAUAAAUCAUAUGUUGUGGUGGUGUGCUUUUUAUGUUUACUUUAUUUCUCACACUUGAUUUAUAAUUGUAUUCAUCCACUUCACAGUUAGCCAAUUAUGUAUAUGAUCUUGAGUAGGAUCCUGGUUUUUGGGAUUCUUGAUUCCUGAGAUCCCUACAAUUGGUAUCAGAGCAAUAGGUGUGUAUGGGGUUGGAGUUUGAUGGAUACCUGGUUUGAGGUGGAAAAAUAUAAAGGCAAAGUGUUUGAGAAAAUUCCACAAUAGAGGCAAAUGAGAAGAAAUCAAGAAAUUUAUUCAAUGAAGGAUGCCAAGGCAAUUAUGGUAAUUUUGCUAUCAAGGUAGAGAUUGUUGGGUUUGAUGAUAAGCAAAUCACUGUACUCAUAUUUGCUUAAUCGAGAUAGCCGUUUAAAAGGGAAGAUCGGUGAUGGUCUUUUACCGAUGGUUAGAUAGAUGUAUAUCUCUUGUAACCCAAAAAUGUAAUCGUCAUUGUGAUAGCAGAUUUCAACUUGUCGAGGCUGUGGAUGUAGCCCUGCGAGGUGAACCACAUAAAAUGUAUAGUUUGGUGCUGUGCUUUUUAUGUUUGGUUUAUUUUUCACACUCGAUUUAUAGUUGUAUUCAUCAAUUUCAUAUUUAGUCAAUCAUGUACAUAAUCUUGGGUGGGAUCCCGAUAUUUGGGAUUCCCGGUUCCACAAAUGAAGAGUUCCCCAGAACCCUAUACCCAUGAUUGUAAAAAAUGAAGCUUCAAGAAUUCAUGGGAUUUAAACUGUAAAUAAGAGAGAUUUGAGAUGAAAUUCUACAGAAUUCUCGAUUUCAAAUUCUGGUUAUUUUGAAAAAAUAAGGCUUUGAUUCAUAAACAAUUGUUGUAAAUGUUGCAGAUAAUUCGUAGGAGGCUCAAAUUUGGGGCUAAAAUGGCUUUAAAUGAGCUCCUAUAGAAGAAAAGGUCAAGCUUUCUAUGCUUCCCCUACUGUAUAAAACUUAUAUGCUUCCUUCUAUCCAGUCGUCCAUUCUGAAUAGAUGGCUAAGUUGGCCCCAAUCACAAUGUCACGUCUCUACAAUGUUUUAUUUUUAGCUUACUUUUUUUAACAAACUAUUUUGACACCAAUGUUUUGGGCAUCCAAUCCUCUCAUAAUGUUGCACCUGUAAAAAAACAGAGAAAAAUAUUAUCAAUAAAAUAAAAUAACUAAAAUACCCUUAAAAUUAUUUUGGUCAUUAUAUUUUAUCUAAAAAUUAUUUUUAAUAUUUUUUUAAGUGCACCACAUUGAGAUGAUGAUACAUACCAAAUUCUAUUCCUAUAAUUUGUAGAAAAAAACCAACAAUAAAAUACUCUGAGGCAUUAGAUCUAGAUCAAACUAUCAAUAGCUCACUUGAUCUAAAUUGGAUGGCUAGAUAAGAGGGGAAGCAUAUAUCUUCUAUGAAGUAGGGGAGGUAUAUAAACGUUUACUGAAUAAAGAGGUGUUUUCUUUUUACAACAAAUUGCCCAAAAAGGUCAAGCUUGGUUCCAUUUAGAAUCGGUCUCGAGUCAAGAAUCGCCGAACUUUGUAAAAGGAAUUAUCGAAUGCACUAUAUUGAAUAGCAAAAUCUAGGGUAUAUUGGAGCGAAUCACCUAGUCAUGGCCAUCCAGAACCAUAGAUUCCAAAACCAAAGACCCUCAAAUUCCAAACAAACUCGGACAAUUUUAAGUCAGCUCUAUCGUUUAUUGAACAUUAGUUCCAAUCAUGUUAAAAAACAACAUUGACUCAUGCAUAAAUUAUUUCCCUAAGGCUUACAAACUAGAGAUUCGUGCUGAUGAAUUGUUUGGUUCAGUACAACUGAUUUCAAUAUGAAUUUUAUUAAAUUGCCCGAUUUAGAUGGAGUUCCAUUUUCGUGGUAAGGAUUCCCUAAAAUUUCGAAUGGAUUUGAUCGGGAUGAUGAACUCUUUAAUGGAGUAAAUAAGCUUUGAGAUUUUCAUGCCACUUUUUUAAUGUCAUUUUCAUGCAAUUUUGCAAGCUUUUUCAUGGUAAAAAAAUGGCAAACAAAUAGUUCAUGGGAUUAUAUCGCCAGUUAUCAUAUCUAGUUUAAUCUCCAUUAGAGUUUCACAACAGGUCGAUUUACUUAUUUUUUAGUCAUAAAGUAGUUAAUGGGACUCCAUUAAGUUUGCAAUUGAUUUUCAUGAUCAUAUUAGUACUCAUUUUGUGGCGAAAAAUCAAUUUCGAUUGGCGAAAACUCAAUUUAUGAUUUUUUUUUGGCAUUUUCAUCAGAUUUUUCACGGUCUCUACAUUUUUCAUUGUUAGAAAAAUCUUUCUUUUUCGUCUCCAGUUCCAUUCAUUUUUCAUUUUUGGAAUUUUGUGUCUAUUCAAUGACACUCCCACAACUACUCGAAGUGAAAUUUAAAGGACAAUAAUGAUUGUGAUCUCGAUAUACAAAAAAUGAAGAGUGUGGUUUCUAUAAGAUUGCAACUUAAAACAAUUCAAUUAAGACACACCUCCAACUUUUAUCAUAACAUAUAAUUUUGGUGUAAAAAAUUCUUAGGAUUACUUGAAAAUCUAAUUUCAUAUCUAAAUAUAAAAUUUUCAAUUCCAAAUAUGGUUAAAAUGAAGUAGAUCUAUAAACAUUUGAAAAUCUUGAAGAUGGACGGUCUAGAUAAUAUAUUGCAAGAUGCAUUAUUUCUGAGACUAAAAAUCUUUUUCUUUUUCCAUUUCAUACAUUUCAAUGUCGAGAUGAUCAAUUAGAGCUUUUUUUUUGUGAUAAAAUUCAUAUAAUUUUAUUCAAGAGCUAAACAGAAAUUACAUCAUUAGAGACUAAAAUCUCAGAAAGAGAAGUGUCGUUUUUAGCUAGACUAUCAGCCAAAACAUUAAUCUCCUGGAAAACGUGGACGAAGGAAAGAGAAAAAGAUAGGGACAAGUCCAAAAUAUGGAGCAAAAUAAAACAUAAUUCCCAAGGUACCUUCAUCUCCCCCUUGCACCAAUUGAUAACAUUGAGGGAAUCUUUUUCAAUAAUGCAAGUCGAACCUAAAAACCGGUCGCUAAGUAUUUUUAAGCCAUGAAGAAGAGUCAGAAAUUCAGCGUGAUUUGUAGUUUUCUCACCCAAAGGAUUUGAAUAAGAAAAAGAAUAUGUCCUUCCCAAUCCCUCAAAACUCUUCCAAAACCCAUUGGACCUAGAUUACCAAGCGAGCUCCCAUCAAAAUUAAGUUUCAAAACACAUUUUAAAGGAGCGGUCCAUCUCCCUUUGGGCCUAAAUUUCCUAUAACCCAGCUGGAAAAGAUUGUAUAGAUUCCUCCUAACAUUGACUUACAUAAUAUCUCUCCCCACCUUUGUGAUAGACAAAAACAUCCAAGUAGAAUGGAGUAUAUGAUCCAAACUUCUAUCUACCGGUAAACAUUUACCGUCAAACACUAUUCUAUUUCUCUCCUUCCACACCUCCCAUAAAAUUACACCUCUGACUAUUUGCCAAAUCACUACACUAGUUUGAAGUAAAGAAGAGACAGAUAAUGCUCCAAUAAUUCCUAUAACAUCUGGAGGUCAGAUCAACACCACUUUAACCUGAGCAAAAAACCAACUCCAUAUACUACUAGUAAAAGGGCAAUGUAGAAAAAGAUGAGCAUUUGAUUCAACAUCCCUUUUACAUAACAAACAUAUAUUAGACAGAAUUUUCCCUCUUUUAAUGAGAUUAUCUGCAGUCAAUACCUUGUUUUGAAUCUCCAACCACAAAAAAGCUUGGAUCUUAAGAGGAAGCGGCCACUUCCAGAUAGCAACAAUUUCAGGCAUUAACCAUCUCCAUUGAUCAUGAAAUAAUAGAUGGUCAUAGAUUUGACCGAAUAGACACCAUCUUUUGCAAUAUCCCAGACCACCUCAUCUGCUGCAUUACCGGAUAAAUACACCACAUUUAGCGCUGAUAAUAAAGCACUAAACUUUAAAAAAAGCUCAUCGAGAAUUCUAUUAUAUGGUAAAAUGAUCUUCCACUCAAUUUGAUUCCCCCUCAUCUCAAAGAGAUCCUAAAUUAACGCAUUGGGAUUACCCACCAUGUUGAAAAUCAAAAGAAACACAUAUUUUAACGGAGAGUUAUCUAAUCACUUAUGGUGCCAAAAUGAGAUAUUACUUUCAUCACCAAUUGUCUAUCUGGUAUCUCUAUGGAUAAGAGCCUUACACGAGUAAAUAGAUCUCCAACAAUGUGACAUUCUUCUUCUACCAAGCCUGACUCCAACUCACAUGUGGAAUCUAUCCUCACCAUACUUCAAGCUUAUCACUUUAUACCAAAGCUAAUCUUUAAAAGUUAAACUUCUCCACCACCAUUUACAGAGUAAAGCCAGAUUAACCAACUUGAUUUUCCUUAUCCCCAAACCCCCUUCUCCUUUUAAUGUACACACCAUAUCCCAUCUAAGAAGAUGAAAUUUUUUUGAGUCCCCCAAACGAAGUUCCUCAUAAGCAAUUCAAUCUUUCUGGUAACCAAAGAGGGAACUUGAAGAAUUGACAUCUGAUAAAUUGGGAGAUUAGCUAAACAAGCUUUAAUCAAAGUGAUCUUACCACCCAAAGAAAGAUAUUUGUAUUUGCACAAAUCAAGCUUAAUUUGAAUCCGCUAAAUCACUUUAUCCCACACUGCCACAGGCCAUCGACCAUCUGAAAUAGGCAUACCAAGAUACAUAAUUGGGAAGUGGUCCACAUUAAAACUUAGCGUUUUUGCCAAAACAGUCACCACCGAAUCAUCACAAUUGAGACACAUCAUAGAUGUUUUGCCAAAGUUCACCUUAAGGUCUAAAGCAACUUUGCAGCAUUUUAAAAACAUCCCUAUAUUACUAACCUAAUCCACAUUUGCAUCACAAAAAAGCAGCGUAUCAGCAUAUUGAAGGUGAGAGAUACAAGGACCCCAAUUUGGCAACUAGAAGCUAGCAAAAUGCCCAUUAGACUCAAUGUUUUGAACAAACAAGCUAAAGCACUCUGUAUAAAUUGUGAACAGGAAGGGAGAGAGGGGGUCACCUUGACGGAGACCCUUUAAACCCCUAAAAUAACCAAUAGGGCUACAUUUGAAUAAACUGGAAAAAUGGGCACAUAAGAGGCACCCAAAAAUGCAAUUUCUCUAUUUUCCCCCAAACCCCAUAUUCUUAAUGAUCUCUAAAAGGACGCUCUAUUCCACCCUAUCAUAAGUUUUUUCAUAUCCAGCUUGAUCACAAUUCCAAGAGCACCGUCAAGAAUCCGAGAAUGAAUGCACUCCUGAACUACCAUAACACUGUUUGUGAUCAGCCUAUCCUUAAUGAAGGUUGUUUGAGGACCCAAAAUGAUAGACAGCAAAACCACCUUAAGCCUUUCUGCAAGUACUUUGGCCACAAUUUUAUAGAUACUAGUCAAUAGGCUAAUAGGUCAUAUAUCACUUAAGGAAGCGAUCACAGAUUUCUUAAAAAUAAGUGCAAUAAGGGUAGAGUUUACACCUCUAAAAAGCUCCCCUCUACUCAUAAACCCCCUAACCAUCUCCAGAAAUUCAUUGCAAACCAAAUUCCAAAAUGUUUUUAAAAAGAUGAUAGGAUAUCCAUCCGGACCAAGAGCUUUAUCUCCUGGCAAUGAGAAUACCACUCGUUUUAAAUCAACCAAAGAGACAUCUUUUUUCAAAAAAGAAACCAAAUCAUAUGAAAGAGAAUUAAAGCCCACCCUAUGCAGCUUAGGGGUAGCUUUAAUCUCAGAGGAAAAAACCUUUUUGAAAUGUCUAAUGACCGCAUUAGACAUAUCAGAAUUAUCUUCUGGAUCAACGCCUUGAAUCAUGAGACCAGACACAUCAUUUUGUCGAGUGCGCGCAUUUGCAAUAGCAUGAAAAAACUUACUAUUCAUAUCCCCUUCCUUCAACCAUUUAACCCGAGAUCUUUGUUUCCAAUAAACUCCUUCAACCCUCCUAAGCUCAAGUAACUCCUGAGUAUAACUGUAUCUAUCAGCAAUUAACUCAUCUGAUGAAACACCGGAGCUUUGCACUGUAGAAUCCACUACAUCAAUUUUACCAAAAACUUCCUCAAUUUUGCUUCUAAUAUUAAAACCCUUCUCAUUUUUCCAAACAAGCAGCUUGUGUUUAAUAUUCAAAAGCUUAUUGUGAAGCUGAAAGUCUAGAGAAUCAAAGGAGAUGGUAUUCUCCCAAGUACUCUUGACAAUCUCAAUCACCUCUUUUUCCUGAAGCCAACUUAUUUCCAAUCUAAAAGGUUUCAGACCCUUAGAGAUAACUUUAGAGCACAGCAGGAUAAGGGUAUGAUCAGAGGAGAGUCGAGGUAAGACUUUAACAGAAGUCAGAGGGAAACACUCAGAUCAGUCACCAGAAACUAGGAAUCUAUCGAGCUUAGACAUAGAUAGAUUUAACGAACUACCAUUGGUUCAAGUAUAGACUAUAAGAAAUUGGAAGGUCAAUCAAUGCAAAAGUCUCAAUAAAUUUAUUAAAUAGUCACAGUAAUCGACCCACCACGAUUGCAUUCAUCCGGCCAUCUAAUAAAAUUAAAAUCCUCUCCUAAACAAACAAAAAAAUUAACUAAAUUAUGAGCAUCACACAUAUCAUUGACAAAAACUUAUUUUAGAUCAAAAGUUUGAGGACCAUAAGCAUUCAAUAAAGCCCCAUUUAAAAUAUGGAUAAGGGCCUACAGAAACAACCAACAGAAAGUUUGAUCUCUCUGUCACGAAAAAAUAACGAAGGACAAAAGGAUCCUAAAGAAUCCAAAGGCCCCCAAAAGCUCCAACAGAAGCCACCCCCAUAAAAUCUACAGAACCUGGACCCCAAACUUCCCUAACCCUAGACAACGUCGGGCAGGGGAGUUUAGUUUCCUGCAACAACAGAACUGGUUGUUUAAAUUUAGAAACCAGAAAACAAACAUCCUUUUUUCGUUUGAGGUCACUCGGACCUCUAACGUUCCAAGAAAUAACAAUCAUUUAAAGAUGGUUAACAGAGGAAGAACUUGGGCCCUCCCUGCUAGCACCGAAAUAAACUUCUUCUAGAAACCUUGCUUCAGCAAGACUAUCUCCAAGCAUCCCAUCCUCAGACGAAGAACCUGAGUUACCCUCGAACACUUUAUCAUCCGAAAUGAUGACUCCAUGCACAGUAGCAUUAAGCAGCAUUUCUCUUAGAGCCUGCGACCUAGCUGAGGAUCUCGUACCUUUAGAAAACACCUUAGCUUUGUUCUUCAUCUUGCCCCCUUAGGCCGAUGGAGUUUUCUCCACAGCACCUUCUGGCUCCUUGCACUCUGAGGCUUUCGCUUUUUUCUCAUCCUUUUUCUUAGCAACGAUCUCUUGAAAACAACCCCAAUUGGUACAUUGAAAUCCAUACCGCAAUCAAAAGCAUUAGCGCUGACCUUAUCCAACUAGAGUUAGUCUUAACUUCUUCCUUCGAGAGAUCCACAUCAGACUUAACUGGGUUAUCAGCCACAAACUGAAGCAAUAGAGGACGAGACUCCUGUGGGACAACAUUAAAGAGGAGGAGGAUCCUCCGUUGUCACCAAGGCAAGAUGAUCCUGUAAAUUACCCUCAAGAAUAGAGUCAUCUGCAGCAAUCAGGUUCAUAGCAUCCGGAACAACUUCAUCUACACGUUCUUCCAACACCUGGGGCUCUGGAUUCUCCUCAACGACCACAAUCGCUAAUAGAUCCACCAUUAAAGGAUCAAAAGACGGUCUUGGGGUGGAACGAAUUUGCCUAGCCUCACUGUGAUGAUAAAAGGGAUACAUACUACUAAGCAAAGAUAAUAGCAUGAUGAAAGCGCACAUAUAGAGGUGGUGCUGACUCACAACCAUGAACACCGAGAGUAAAAAAAGGCACUAGUCUUACAAACCUUAGGAGCAACAGAUAACAAAUAAGUAAUAGGGGGGCAUAGCCUUAGCUUGCAACUCCCUAUCCAUCGUCAGCGAAAAAUCCGGGGCAGCCAACCUUACAUUCCCCAAAAAUCAAGCCGAAAAGACUUCAUACAGGGAUACGUCGCUUCAGAAUGAUUUCCCCCAACAGUUUGAGCAUCCAAAACAGGUGAGCUUGCAUUACUAUUCUGACUAAUAACAUCCGCCACACCGUUACGAACAACUGAUGAAAUAGACACCGUGACUUCCGCAAAACGCCCCACUGGAAUCCAUCUUUUGUGAAUUUUCAAAAUUUGAAAAUUCGUAACUCCUUUCCUGAACUUUCGGUGGCUUCGCAUCUGUUGAAAAUUUCGAGAGCUGUCGGAAAGAUUUUUUUAGGGGCAUUCCAACCAACCCUGAACUUGGAACCUUGGCGCUGAACCACCAUCCAACCAUCCUCAACAGCAGGUUGAGGGGCCGCCUCAGGCACAGUUAGUUUUUUCCUCACCAUCGGAGAGACCCCAAUGGCAAAAGAAUAUUGGCCCACCAUCAAUCGCACAACUUUGGGGAUGGACGCCCCUCUGAGCUUCCAAAUACGAACUCUGACAACACUAACAUCAAUCCCUACAAAGGAGUCUUUGUCAACAUCACAAAAUUCCCCACAAUAAUUAGCAAUCUUUCGAAUAGUAUCCAGGGUCCAAGCAUGGAAGGGAUUACCAAAAAGACUAAUCCAAAGGCUUUCCUUCUGCAAAUAAGGCAAAUGAGCAGACAGUUUCCACAAGUCCAAAGAUAGCAACUUGCAGUGAAUCCUAACAAACUGAUUGCUCAAAAGCAACGAUAGCGUCCUCCUUGGCUCGUAGCAAAAAAAGCUAUCUUAUUGUCUCUAAUCAAUUUAACAAUAGGAGCAUAGGAUAAACCCCAUCCCCUUCUAGCCCAGUCGCACAAACCAAAUAUGUCGUUAAAAGACGGGGAAAAGGAGCCCAUAACAGGAAAACUAGCCCCUGCAAGUAGACCGGAUGAAAGAUCAUAUCUUACAUGAACAAUUGAAGCACCCAAAUAAUCAACCUCACUAUCAACAUCGCCAUCGUCUCCUCCCACCAUCAUUUUCUUCCACACUCUCUUUAUGAAAACCACUCUCUAGAGCCCAAGAACUACUUUCAAUUAGAGGCCUUUUCAAUAUGGAAAAACCUUUUCCGAUGGAUUUUUGAAGUGCGUCUUUAAUUUUGUAUUUUAAAGUUGCAACCAUAUAUAAACUUUUGUCUUUGGGCCAAAUAGCCGUUGUAGAACCUAUCUUGUCCUUGGGACUUGGUUUAUUGGAAACAAGAGAAAGUUAUGCACUAGGUUUUCAAGGUAGGUGAACGCUAGACCUAUUACCAACCCAAAUGUAACUGAAUAUCAAAUUCUCAAUAGAAAAAAUACACAUACCCCCCCCCCCCCUCCUUAAAUCACUCUCCCGAGUAAACUCUCAUGUCUAUGAGGCUCAUGAACCCCUCCAUAUUAAAAGAAAAUGACAUUUAACCUCCUUUGUUCUCUUUCAAUUUCAUUGACUAGACUAAAUUACACUAUUUACCCAAUUUUUUCCAAGAACCCUUUCAUUAAUGAAAAAGUGUUUUGUGAGUCAGCAAACUCACUAGGCCACACAAUCACAACCAUCCUUUAAGAUGAGCAUUCACCACUAAAGAUUCCUACCCAAUGGAUGAGAAAAUAUUGUAAUAAAAAUAUUCUAAAAUUUAUUAUAUUUUAUUUUAUUUUUUACAUUCAUGAUCAUCAUAGUGUAGAUCGUGGAUCAUUACAAAUUUGGGAUCCAUGAUCAAGCACUAUAAUGGGUGUUCAAGGGAGCCCGCAUGAAAAUAGUAUAGCCAGGGGACUCUUAAGAACCAGGUCCUUUAUUAAAAGGAAAAUUGUUUCAUGCGGGCUGGACCACAUUUCUAUAUAUGCGAUCCAAAAAAGUGUAAAGCAUCCAUUUUAAAGAUGGAUGCAAAUAGGUGUUCCAUCUAAAAACAAUAGAAACUAACGGUCCAAAUGUUUUAUUACUAGUAUUUUUAUUUUUAUUUUUAAAACUUAUUUAUUUUUCCAUAUUCAUAAUCUCCAUGUUUGUUAUUACAUGUUCUUAAAAAUUAAUUAUUAAAAUCCAUCUCAAGAAAAGAUUUAUUAAGAAGCCCGCAUUGCCAUGCGGGCUUGGCCACAUAGAAACAUGGUCCUUAUUAAAACCCAAGAAAAAAUCUCCCUUUCUUAUGGGACCCGCGGGAUUACCUCGGAUUAGUUUGUUUGGGAAAAUAUCUUCAUACCCCGUAUUUUUAAGUUUUAUUUCACAAUAGACUCAAGGUUUUAAAAGAUGUUUUGGAGCAUAAAAAUUGUAGAUUUUAUUUCUUCUAACCCCUAAACUGAUUUAAACAUUGUGUUUUAGGCCAAACAAAUCUAAAAAACUACAUUUUCUAAAAGUCAUCCUACCAAAUAUCUCGCUCUCUCCCAGCACCCCUUCUCUCUCUCUCUCUCUCCAUCUUUCUCAUAUCUUUCCCCUCACUCUCUUUCCUCCCGCUCUCUCUUCACGUUUCCGAAGAGUGAGAGACAUAGGAAGAAGGAGAAAGAGAGAAAUUUGGGGUAUAUAAGUGAAAAGAGAGAAAAGAUUGGGUUGGAUUUCAAGGAAGUGAGAGGUUAUCGGAAAGAGAGAAAGGUGUUUGGAGAAACAUGGGAGGAAAGAGAGACGUGUUUGGAGAAACAUGAGAGGAGCGAAACAUGGGAGGAGAGAGAGGUGUUUGGAAAAACAUGAGAGGAGAGAAAGAGUGAGAGAUGCAGAAAGAGAAAAAAGAUUGAAGCUUGGGUAUAAAAGUGAAGAGAGAUAAAUUAUUGGGUUUAAAAAGAGCACGUGUUUCUCACAUUUGUUUAGGUUAAAAUAUAGGUUUAAAGUGACAAAGGGCUUAGAAGAUAUCUUUUGAAACUUUGAGUUUAUCAAGAAAUGAAACCUAAAAAUAUGGGAUAUAUAGAUAUUCUUUCUAGCCUUUCAAAGAUGAGAGUUUACUUAUUUUUUCAUUUCUCAAUUUCAAGCCUGCGCAAUAAAUUAAAUAUGAGAAAAGUUUAUAUAGAGCUUAUCUCAAAAUUUUCAUUAGAAGAGGUUGUUUCGAUGCUCAAAUAUAUUUAAAUUGAUCAUCUCGACAUCAAUAUGAAUGGACAUGAGAAAAAAUGAUAUUUAAGUUUGAAAAAUAGUGUAUUUUAUAACGUAUUUUUAGACCGUCAAUUUUCAAGAUUUCAAUUUUUAUAAAUCUACCGAUGUACAUUAAUUUUAAAACUUUAAACUUUACAAAUAACUAUAAAAAUAUAUUUUAAAGCUAUCACCAAAAUUGUGGUGAAACCGCAUUUCGCGACACUCUUUGAAAGUAACUCUAAGGGCCUAGGUUCUAUACGAACCGCACCCAAAAAAAUUAAGUUCCCACUCCACGUGUGCAGUUUGGCGCCGAUGGAGUACCGUAGUAGGGCGGCUACGCCACGCACUGAAAAAUCAUAUCCCAAAUUUCGCCGAAAGCGAGCGGAAUUCGGAUGAAAUUUCGUUUCAAAAUUUCGUACGCACUUUGAUAGUCUGGGAUCUAGGGUUUAGAGAGAUAAAAAGGACAGCAGUUUGAUCUCCAGUGAUGCGGAAGGUGUGGCUCAGCUGGUACCGACCAACCAACAUCUGACACGUCGUAACCAAAUUCCAUCAAGGAUGUGACACGUGUAAUGUGGCGUCAGUUUAAUAGUGACGCUUGCUCCUUUUGUUUAAUGGGAGAUGCGUGCGACUUCUGCCAUCACGCCGUAACACGUGUCGGUGGCUACUUCCACUAUCUUCUCUCUCUAGCCUCGAUUACUCCAUUUAUACUUCCAUACCCCAUCCCAUUUCUCUCUCUCUCUCUCUCCUCAUUUUCCCUUCCGUUUCUCCCCCCCUCUCUUACUGCAAAGAAACCCCUUCUCUCUCUCCUCUUCUCAUUUUCCCUUCAGUUUCUCUGAUUCCCUCUCUUACUGCAAAAGCGCAUCCUCUCUCUCUUCUCAUUUUCCCUUUAGUUUCUCUCUCUUCUCAUUUUCCCUCUCGUCCCUGCCUCUGUGCAAAGAAGCCUCAUCUCUCUCUCUCUCUUACUGCAAAGAAGCUUCAUCUCUUUCUCUCUCUUCUACAAGGUUCUACUUUGAUUCCUCCCAUUUUUCUCUCUUGUUUUCAGAUACUUAAUUUGCAAAGCUUUCUCUCUUUAAAACACAGAAAACCGGCGCGGCCGCGAUUAACAUCUUCCUCUCUCUACAACUCUGCAACUCACCUAACUUUGAAUCUCGAAGAAUUCUCAAUACCUUUCGCGUUUUGGAAGGCUUCAACUCCUUCUCUAUCAUUUUUCACUACCCCUCUCUCUCUCCCGGCCUGAGGGGGAAGGCUUUCUCUCUGGGCUUGAGAGGAAGGCAUCUCUCUCUAGGCUCCAGGGGUGGAGAGGAACUCUCCCUCUCUCUUUAAUCUCUUGCUCCUCUUUCUUAUCUAGAGGGUCCAUCUCUCUAAACACCUCUCCCCCUUGUCUCCAGGACUCUCUUUCUGCUUAGCCCCUCUUUAGGCUCUCCGCCCCAUCUCCCCAUCUCUCUAGGCCUGUCUCUCUCUGAGUAGCCCUCUCUCUCUCUCAGCUGAAACGCUCCUUCUCUCUCUAGGGCCAGGGCCUUGCCUAUAUGAAAGCGAAGCAAUCCUCAGCCAACCGUAACACCACUCGAGGAGUGGCCCAAAGGCCCACUCGCAAAUCUUUAUUAACGCAUGGUCGCACCACCAGAAGGGCUCCAGCCCGCCCUCAUCCACCACAAUCGCCAAGACCCAAAUCCAUCGUCCCAAUGGACGGCGGCUUUGAAUCUGACCCACUUGCCGAAACCACCCAUUUUCCAGCCAUCCCCACUGCCGGAAUUUCCCUUUUUCCGGCCACGGCCACCUCCGACGAGGACUGUGCUCAUCCCUUGAGGACAGAUUCCAGCAGUUCCAUGUUUGGCUCUGAUGACAGCCGGAGCACCACCACAUCUGGCCGCACCACUGGUAGCUCCGGCUCCUGCACGGCGGACAGCGUCCCGUCAGAGACUGAGGCAGCCGCCGCCGUGGCCUCCCUCUCCGUUGAGGAUCUUAUGGUGGCGGAGUUCGACGCCGUUAGUAAGAGAGAUGACGUCGUCAGUUAUAGGUGUGAAAUCGUUGGUGACAGAUGUGACGUCGUCAAUGAUAGUCCUGACGCCGUUAGUGGAAGAGGUGACGUCGUCAGCGAACCAGUCAGUGAUCGAUGUUACGUCGUUGAGGGGAGAGAGGAGAGGGUUAGGGAGAGAUGUUUGGGAAAGGGGAGGGCGCUGGCCUGGGGGUCGACUUCUGUGAUAGGGGGGAGAAUGGAGAUGGAGGAUGCGUUUGCUGUGUUGACUGGUUUUCUCAGGGUGGCUUGUGAGGUGGUGGGCGGGUGCGCGGCGAUGGGGUCGAGGGACUCCUGUGAGCCAGCACCGCUUGGGUUCUUUGGGGUCUACGACGGCCAUGGCGGACCGCAGGUUGCCAACUUUUGUAGUGAGAGAAUGCACUCCGCCCUAGCGGAGGAGUGGGAAACGAGGAGCGGCCCCGCCUCUCCAUCAACCGAAGGCUGGCAAAAAUGGUGGGAGGGGGCUCUGUCGCGAUCAUUUCUAAGGGUGGACGGCGAGAUCACCGGCGCUGGAGACGAGGUGGCGGCCCUAUCCGCCGCCGCUGGGGCCGCGGAGCCAAUAGCACCGGAGAUAGUGGGGUCCACUGCGGUGGUGGUAGUGGUUUCAGGGUGUCAGAUCAUCGCGUCCAAUUGUGGCGACUCUCGUGCCGUUCUCUGCCGCGGAAAUCAGGCCAUCCCCCUCACCCUUGAUCACAAGGUUCCGCUCCUCUCCUCUCCUCUCCUCCGAUCACAACAAAAUAAUAAUAUUAAUUAAUAAAAGACGAAACUCUUUUUCUUUAUUUGCUUUUUUAUCUCCAGAAAGUAAUAAAAAAGAGGAAACUCUACUUCUUUAUUUUGCUUUUAAGCCCUUUUUCGCUGGUACUGUUUUCAUCUUUUGGCCGAAACCAAGAGCCAUCGGUCCACAAAAAAAGGACCAACUCAAAACAAAAAAAAAAAAACCAGUUUAUUUUUAUUUUGUAUUUCGCAUUUCACAGACUCUCUAUUACCUUUCUAUUUAUUCGUAUUUUAUUUGGAUAGGGGUUUAAAACGUAGUUGGUUUUGUCCUCAGAUUAAUAAAAAAAAUUGUCUUUUAAUGUAUUUUUUUGAAAGAAAUUUGUUCUUUUAAGCUUUUUUUUUAGGAAAAUUUAUCAAAAUAUACCUGAACCAUUUGACAAGCUUAAGUGUAUUUUUAUAAAUUUUUAAACUCCUUUUUAAUGUGAAAUUUUAUCAAAAAAAUUACGCGCUAUUAAAAUUAAAUCAAGCAUGUAUUUGAAAUUAAAAAAAAAAAAAAAGAAGAUCGAGUUUCGUAUAAUUUAAUAGAUUUCUCUUUAAAAAAAGAAAAGUCACAAGGGCAUGGUAUCAAGUAAUUGUUGCCGGGGAAUUUUCAAAAUUGCAGACGAAUUAUUGCAAUUUUCUGCGUAGUGUUUGCAUGAAUAAUUGAAAUUUAAUAUGAGAAAAUUUUAUAUGUUUGUAAUUUAUUUGUUUGUGUGUAUUGAAAUUGCGGACAAAUUUUUUCAAUUUUCUGCGUAAUGUUUGCAUGAAUAAUUGAAAUUUAAUAUGAGAAUUUUUUAUGUUUGUAAUUUAUGUUUUUGUGGAUAUUGAAAUUAUGGGCAGCCUGAUCGAGAGGACGAGCUAGAGAGGAUCGAAGCGGCCGGUGGGAAAGUAAUAAACUGGAACGGCUCACGUGUUUUCGGAGUCCUCGCCAUGUCGAGAGCCAUAGGUCCACCGAUUCACGCCCUUUUAUUUUAUUUUAUUUUAUCCUAAAAUAAGUAAAUAAUCAAUUUUUUUCUUUACUUUAAUUAAUGAGAAAAAUCAAAGAAGGUGCCAACCUUUAUUUUCCAUUUCCUCCCUUUCUCCAAUCUUUAUUUGUUACGAAUGUGCAAUUAUUAUUGGGGUGCAGUUGGCAUACGCAUCCGUAGCUGUAGAGGUAAGGUGGGCCUUCAAAUUUUAUCAUGGAAUACAAUUUUGAUGUAAAAUGUUUAUAGGAUUAUUUUAAAAUCUAUUUUUUAUAUUUAAUUAUAAAAUUUUAAAUUUAAAAAAUAAUUAAAAUCAAGUAGAUUUAUAAAUAUAUGAAAAUCUUAAAGUCUUAAAAAUGGAUACUGUAGAUAAUAUGUUGUAAAAUGUGUAGAUAAUAUGUUGUAAAAUGUAGAUAAUAUGUUGUAAAAUGUGUAGAUAAUAUGUUGUAAAAUGAACUAUUUUUUAGACUUAAUUUUUUUUUAUUUUUCAUGAUCAUACCUCUCGAUGUCGGGAUGAUUGGGUUUUUCACCAUUAAAACUACUUUUUCAUACGGAUUUUUGAGGUGCAUCCGUAGCUCUACAUUAUAAGCCGUAUAAAAGCUUUUUUCUUAUUUUAAUUUGAUCUCCCAAAUUUGGUCCAGCGGUACUACUAAAAUAUUUUUGCUUUGGCUGCUGUACAAAGUGUGGUGGUACAGCGGCGCCACCCAUUGAAUUGCCCAAAAAAAAAAAAUUAUAAGUUUUUUCGAUUUUAAAUCUUGCGCAGGCGACAGGUAUCUAAGGCCGUCGAUAAUCCCGGACCCGGAGGUAAGCUUCACGCCGCGAACCGACGAGGACGAGUGUUUGGUUGUCGCCAGCGACGGCCUGUGGGACGUGGUCUCGAACGAGGAGGCUUGCCGGGAGGCUCGCCGCGUGCUGUCUCGGCCCAGCCGGGUGUUGCGUGAUGAAUCCGCGCCAACGCCAUCGCCAUCACCUGCUCAGGCUGCGGCCGAGCACUUGGCCAACCUUGCCAUGCACCGCCACAGCUCCGACAAUAUCACCAUUAUCGUCGUCGACCUCAAACAUAGAAGAAGGCGCCUGCCACAGAGAUAAAUAGUAGAUUUUCUCUCUUCUUUCUUCAUUCUCUUCCUACCGGAAUUUGCUGUAUAGAGUCUGAUGACGGGAUUUUAUCCCUCUCUCUAGCGAGCUGUUAAAAGAGAGAUUCCUGUCAUGGAACUUUCUCACUCUACCUGCUUGAAAUGACAUUCACUACAGCGACUGUCAAUUUCUCUUUCUCUGCUGUUUACAUCGAUUCUCUUUCUGCAAAUGCAAGAACUUUGCACGAGAAGAUAUUCAUUAGAGGGACUCUCUACAGCGGGAAUUGAGGUUUCAGACUGUAAGAUCGGGUCUCAUUAUCCUUGGAGAUCAUUUCUUACUAUCGCUGGAUUUAGUCCAGAGUUUUGGAAGUCGGAGGAUCUGUGUGGUUUUACGCCGUUCUCUUGAGUUUUUGUGGUAUAUAUAUAUGUGAAAUUGUAAGGCUUUUUAUACGGUUUUUGGAGGUGGAUCUUCUUCACUUUGAGAAGGAAGCUUUGUUUGCACAAGAUCUCCUUUGGUUUCAGGAGAUCGAAGACUGUAAUUCUUCACAAAAUGGAAAGCCAUCGCAAUGAAAAUAUUUAAGAACAGGUAUUUUCACAUUUCGUCGUUCACUCGCUGUCUCAAAUUCUUAAUUCCUUAUAGCUUUUCUUCUUGUUUUCUUCUUGAAGCUCGACUCCAUAACCUCUUUUUGUACACCGGAAUCCUUUUUUCCGGCCGGGAAUCGUUCGGAAAACCGCACAGAGGUCUCGUUUUCGCCGGUAAAUGACUGCUGUGAUCCGCUAUUGGCGGAAAAGAUUAGGGUUUGUAAUUUUGCGGCUUUGUGUCUUGGAUGUGCCGAGUUGGCUUUGUCAGCAUUCCGACACGUGUACGGUGCAGAUCUGUACAGAACGUACAGACACGUGUCCAUAGCAAGACUGUCCUGUCGGCUUAUUUUUAUGCCCUGUCGCUCCAUGCGGGGCCCGCGUCUUAAAUUCAUGUGAUUGCGUUUUCGCCCUUACUCUGGAAUUGACUCCAGUAAUGAAUAAUAUUAAUUGCCUUGGACACGUGGGGAUAUUCGAUUCGAUAUCCUUGAGCUGCGAUCUCAACCGUCCACGUAUGAACAUUGGAGUCAUCGGGGUCGACACGUUCCCAAACUUUUGCUUUAAGUUGGACGGGGGAAUCUACCAAGAAAGAAGCAGAAAGGGUAGUGGAGAGCGUGGGGCCACGUGGCUUCCUUAAAAUAAAUUGAAAACAGAAGUGGGCCCAUCUCGAUGGAAGGAUACAUAAUUUUUUGUUCCUAUUUUACCCUUGAUCUUCUGUUCUUAUUUUGCCUGAUAUCCCACCUCUUAAUUUCCAACUUUUAUUUGUAUAAGAUGAAUUUUCCAGUGCCUUCAUUAUGGAUUCAUUGAGACACGUGAUUAAAAAAAAAAAGGAUCGGUGACCCGAUUGAGCACCUCAAGAAUCUUAUUAUUUUAUUAUUUGAACAAAAAGAAGUAAACUUGUGAAAAAUCACGUGAAAAAUCAUUGAUUCGGCCAAACAACAGUCAAAAUCGGUGAAUCAGUAGUUUAGAUUGUUGUAUUACAAAGAAAUGUUCUUUUACUGGAUGGAACUGUUGGUUUUUUUAUAGACCCGAUUGUUUUUCUAUAUACAAAAUUGAAACAGAAUAAUUGAUUUUCAGAUCGGAUCAAGUGAUUUUGUAUUGACCAGGUUUCUUUUAAAUCAUCGAUCCAAAAAAUCAUUGUGGCCCACUUUGCCCAAUACAUAAAAGGAGAAAAAAAAGAGGAAUGUUUCAAUACGUCUCGAUGGGGUGGAUAGUCUUACCGUCUCAAACUUCCAAUCAUUCAUAUUAGUUUGAAUAUGUAAUUUUGAUAAAUAAAAAGUAAAAAAACAGUUGGGAUUUAUUUUUAUUAAGGAAUUCAAAUAAAUAUUAGAUAAAUUUAAAAUAAAAAAAAAAAAAUUACUUAAGAAAGCUAGAGUUGGUAAUGGACUCUUUUGGAAUUGGUUUUGGUCGGGUGAUUCCCAAUCUAAAUAGAUAGGUUUUAGCAGUGUGUUUGAGAGGUCACUUAGAUGGUUUGUGUUAUCAAUAAGAUUGAGCGUUUAGCCACCUCGUUAUUUUUUCUCCAUUUUGUGGUGGCGUUAUUUUCCAUGUUAGUUUCUCGCUACGAAGUUUAGGUGCCAUUUCCGAAUUCUCCCUUGAAAGGGCUCUUUGAGCCCGGCUAGAAACAAUGUAGGGUAUGCUUAGGCUUAGGCUUAGGCUUAGGCUUAGGGCUGGCAGUGGACCGUAUUCGACUCGGGACUUUGCAGAUAUACAGGUCUAGGUGUGGGUUUAAGUUUUGGAACCACAUAUAUAAUCCGGGUUUAACAUAUCAUACCCUAAUUAUCUCGGGUUCAAGUACGAGCCCAGCAAGAUGCUACCCAUAACUGAUUUGUAUUUAUAAAUUAAAAAUAAUUAAUAAUUAAUUAUAAUAAUACAUCCAUCACCAUCCAUUUAACUCAUCGAUUUGAACCUUUUUUUUUUUUACCUAAAUCCCACCUUUAAAUCGUUUCAUCAUCCCCAAACCCCACCGUCAAGCCAAACCCUAGCCAAACCUCUCUGCUUCCUAGAGAGAGAAGAGAAACGCUCACGUCACAGGCCCCUUCUUCAUAGUAAAGAGCCCCGUCUUCUCAAUCCCCGUCGCCAAACCCUAGCCUCCUCUACAACUCAGGCAUCUGGAUCUGCGUCUUCGAGGAUUUGAUUCCAGGUGGGGUGCCGUGCCGGAAAAUCAGCUACGGGGCUUUGGUUUAGAGAGAGUGGUUCCGAGCUCAGAUAAAGGUUCAGAAAACUUUGUUGCAGGGUCGAAAGAUGUAACUGGUUUUCUUGGACAUGAGGCUGAUGUUGUGUUCCGAGAGAUGUGGGUCCUCUGAUUUGCAGGUGCGAGAUGAAAAUGCGUAUGAGCUUUAGAGAGGACCCUCUAUGGGUUUGGGGGUUAGGUUUUCUCCUUGGGUUUUGAAAAUGAGAGGGCUUGUGGCUGUCUCUUUCAUGGUAUCUGUCUUUCUCUCUCUCCAUUUCUCUGCUUCUAAUUCUCUCUUUCUCACUGUCUCUACAUGUCUUUGUCUCUCUCAAUCAAUCUCAGAGUGAAGGUGAAUGGUGUUUUGUUUGUAGAGAUUUACUAUGGAACUUGAAUUAGGAAAUGGACUCUCUUCCAUUCUUUCUUGAGUGGAAUUUGUGGCAUUGUUAUCGUAGAAAUGCUUUUGAUAUGAAAAUUGGAAAUUUCUCUCUCAAAAAAAAGAGGGAGACAGAUACUCUGUCACAGAGAAGGAUUUCAUGAGCACUGAGGAGCUGAGAGAGAGAAGAGGAGCUUAGAGAGAGAGGGGAAGAGAGCAUUCCUGGUAUGGGUCGGGCCCCGGGUCCAAACCUACAUUCUAGGUUCGGGUACGGGGGUGGGGUACUCUUGAACCAUCAGGUCAGAUUCGGAGUAUGGGCCCAACCCGUACUAUUUGCGUCCAGGUACGAGUCCAGCUGAACUCGACCCAUACCGGACCAGUUGCCAACCCUACUUAGGCUAAUGCGUAGUCUAAAAUUUUGGUUCGGAUCGUGGUACGCCUUAAUUUAUGGCAUGUUCGGAUCAAAAUAAGAAAUUGAUCUGAAUCACAAGUCUUGUAUAAAUCUUAA